rnacentral:lncRNA from 1 species
UGAAACAGAAGUAAUGCAUGUAAAAAAGAUCUGUUUCUAUAUGCGUUUCUAUAUGCAUUUUCAACAUACAAAACUGACUUAGAAAGUUUUGACUAUUGAUGACUUGUUUUUUUGCCAAGAAGAAUAGUCUAUGAUUCGAUAUCUGACUUGCGUUAAUGGAUGCGUGCCGGUAAGUUAUAGUCAUACAUAAUGAGAAAGAUAAAACAACUCAAUAUAAAUGUCAAAUCUAACUCAGUUUAUACCACAGGUAGAAAAGCUAACAAGCCCGAACAUUGAAACCUAAUAUAGCAAAACCAAAACAAACAAGCAGAAUAAGCACAAAUCAUAACAUGCAUUAGACAUUUGUCUACAGCUGUAUAUGUAAACUAGAGGGGGAAAAAAGAAGAUGCAAUUAUAUUCCAACAAAAGGUUCCAUAGCAUACCUUUAGUUUGUGCAUUAGGCCACUCCCAAAUUAGUUGUAAGCGCAAAGUCCUUCGCCAAAUCUUCCAAUCCAACUGGAUGCUCAUUCAAUGCCAUCCCUUGCAUGCUUGAAAAAUCGGUGCUAGAAAUAGUAUUAAUUGCAGAACUGUUUUGGGAAGCCAAGCUCUGGAAUUUGGCACUACCAUCAAAAUCAUCCUUCAAAUUAAAAUCCAGUUGCUUUUCCACAGAUUUGAUCAUCGAAGUUCUUUUCGAUCUCAACCUAUACGGAGGGGUAAUAUUAAUGCUCUUUCCCUCACUAGAAUGACUUGUCGAUUCUUUGAACACCUCCUGGUUACUUCCACUUUCCCGUCCUAUUGGAGAACAAGCACUAUCUUGAUCCUUCCACUCAUUUGUUUGUGUAUUGCUAUCAAGAGGAAGAGGCGUCUGUGUUUCCCUUUUCCUCCUCCGUAUUAUAGAUGGAGUAUUAGGAUAGCUCAUAGCUGCGCUCUUCAGUAUGGAUUCAGCACUCAGCUGAACCGAACCCUUUUUGAACCCGCAUGGAGGGGUGAGAUAACCAGCGGGCGAUCGAACCACGUCCGAGCUGUAGGCAUGCAGUAUAGGACUGUAUGCUUUAAAGAGAGAACCAAAAUCUUCUAAUUGAGGCGGCUCAUAGUAAAGAGAGCCAAAUGGAGAGUCUUCACUAAAUAACAUCCCUCUAGUUCUUUUGCUGGCUUGAUCGGUUUCAGCCGUGUUGCUAAUUUCUGCUGAAUCAUCUACUGAAUCACCCUUACUAGAUGUAUGAUCAGUUUCAUGAGGCAGAAUUCUGCAAUUAAUAGAAGAAUCGUCAAGUCCUCUCGCCGAUUCACCUGUUGAAUUACUUGGAGAAAAAAGUUGUAACUCUUCCUUGCAAUUUUCCAUAGUAGCCAAUUCUGUAGGUGGACUAAAAUGUGCAGAACCAGAACCAGUAGUUCCUAGUAAAGAUUUGGUAUUUUUGGGAUAAACUUGCUCAUUAACUAGUUUUGGUACAUCCUUGGUACCAUUAUUCAAAGCAGGCUUCGGAACUGGUGGGAGCUUACCAGUUUGCGAGUAAAAUUCUAACUUUUUCUUUAACGAACUAUUCCAAUGGUUCUUAAUGGAAUUAUCAGUCCUGGAUAGCAGAAAAGGAAAAAAAGAUCAAUUUAAAACAAUAUAGUGAUAUGCAAGCUAAGGCAAUUAGUGCAAUCUAAAGAAUAUAAGAAAUAACUUAGCCCCCAGUAUUUGUUCACAUAAAAUAAGUAGAGGAUCAGCAAAAAGUUAUUAUCACAAACAGAACUUGCUAAGAAAAAUGACAAUGCAACAUGAAGGAAGCAGAGCAAAUUAUACCUAUGUUAUAAGAUAGAAAUCAGUAUAGAGAAUCAGUGGUAAAUUAAGAUAGGGAUGGUUUUGUAUCAUUGUCAUAUAUUUGGAAGGAUGAUUGACAUUGCCAAACUUCAAUGAGUGACAAAAAGAUAUCUGGCAAUAUAUAACAUGACAUGUUUAGAAUGGAGAGUAGAGUAGAAAGGAAUUGCAAAUUAGCAAAUGAAUUUUUAGGGAGUUUUGAAAAUUGAAAGUGUUUUGAAGGCCAAAAGUUCGUUCAUCAUAACGAAUUCAGGAGAAAACGCAUCUAUAUGCAUACAAUACAGGACAACUACAUUCGAUGGAGACAUAUGUAUAUAUCAAUGCUUUUAAGUAUUUACUCUGUGAUCUUGUAUUUAGAGAUACAUCUAUAUCAAUGUUCAGGAGAUAAGAGAUCCUUUUGAUAUUCAGUAAACAUUACCAUAAGGACAACAAGUUAUAGAUAGGAGUAGUGUUUUCUCCACAAAAGACUUAACACAAUAGGCAAAGAAGCACAUGAAAAAACAUUCCAUGAAAACCAAUACCUUCCAGGUAGGACCUUUGCGAUUUCUGCCCAUUUGUUUCCAUGCACACGAUGAGCAUUGAUGAGUGAGAUCUCUUCGUCUGCAGUCCAAGCAUCUUUCUUUAUUUUAGGGUUCAAAUGAUUAUGCCACCUAAGAGAUGUUAAAAAUAUCAAUUAAUUUAGUUCAGCAUAUCCAAUAGAACUGAUAUAUAAUGUGAAUGGAACUUAAAAUUCGCAAUUCAUGUAAGAUCUUCUAGAAUGAACUUUAAGCAUCUAAGAGUAGGCUGGCAUCUGAAUUCUUUCACUUAAAAACAUGAAAAUGUAUGAAGGACGAUGGUUAAUAAAAGUGGUCACAAAAUGAAGACUUGGUAUAGAAAACAUUAAUGUAUGCAAACCAACAAUAGAGCUAGUAAAUAGAUUAACUCAAAUAGAGGAGAGAGACAGAGAGAGCAAUGAGCAGCCUCUUUUUAAAAUCAACCACCUACAUUAACACUCUUUCCUCUUCGAAAUAGUAAUAGUAGUCAAAUAAUAGUAAGAUCAUAACAAUAAAGUACCUCUCUCGGCAUUGUUUGCCAAUGCGACCAGGUAAUGACCUUGCAAUGACAGACCAUUUUGCUGGUCCAUAUUUCUUUACAAGUUCGAUGAUUAUCUCAUCUUCCUGUCAAACCCAAAGAAGCAUAUUGUAAUUAAAGAUAGAAAUGUGCUAAACUAUCUAUUAAUAGGAUGUUAUGCCAUGAACAAACCUCUGGAGUCCAAGGACCUUUAAUAAGUUCAGGAUUGAGAACCUUUUGCCAUCUAUGAAGACAUUGCACUUCUGUCCUAUCCGGGAAAAAUUCAGCUGCAUAGGGAAGAGACAGCUCUUCAACUUUCCAAAUCUUCUAAUUUGAGUAUCGAAAUCUAUGAUAACUAGUUGAUUUUGCAAAACGAAAUAGAGAUAAAUAAAAAAAGAAUGAGGACAAAACACCAUGUCAAACUUACGCAACUACGCAACAACCAAUAUACACAUAAAUGAUUUUACUUGGCAAGAAAUUGAAAUCCAAUUUUCAUACUCUCCCAAUACAAAUUCACUUGAGAACAUGGAAAACAUAAUUGGAAAGCAAUUCCCUGGUGAUGGUAGAAGUUUCUACCAUUUCUCUUUGUUGUAUUGGAAUUGAAGAGUUACAGAUUGGUUUCAGUACAUAAAAGACAUGAAAUCAGAUCAUAAAGGAGAAAAACUGACCUAUUUUCUUCCAACAUCUUCCUUUGUAAGCUUCAACUGCUUUCCUCAGCGUCUCAUCCUGUGACAUGUAUGUAGUAAGCAGGGAAAGUUUGCUAGGCAGCGAUUACGAAAAUCAAGACAUAUAUGAAAAAAUAGUUGUUAUUUGAGCAGUAAAAUAGCUUCAAUUCUGAACAAAAUGCAAUAGUUGCACAGGACUUAAAGUAAAAAGUCCAAUCUACACUAAUACCCAAAAAAAAAAAAAGGUAAAAGAGUCAUGCUAAAAGAAUGGAUAUAGCAUGCUGACCUCUUGGGGGGUCCAGCCACCCUUAGCUCGCCUUAUGGGGCCAGUAGUCCUCCUAGAUAUGAAUAGGAAUAGAUCAUUACUCACCAUAAAAGAGAAUAAGAAAUGGAUAUUUAACCCAAAUUCCAAAGUUUUGCACAAACAAUAAAAUGUCCAGGCAUGAACCAUAGCCAAUGCGAUACAAACUCAGAUUAUCAGAAUCAACUGAAAAAAAAAAAAGAACACUAACAACUAGUAUGUUCGAAGAUCUAAUGCGACAUAGCAGCUAUACAAUUAGCAGAUCUUCAAAAAGAGAAAACACAAUUACUACUUCAUAGCAGAGAGGUAGGAAUUUUGAUCUAUGUACAAGUGAUUAUCUUUUCUAACAGCUCUAUAGCAAAGACACAACCAAUGAACAAUGUAGUAAUUCUACUCGAGAAAGGGAAAGAAGUAACUUUUCUACUACUUCCUUGCAGCUUUUAAACUUAGCAACUUUUCACAGUACAUUAAAAGAUAAGUGCGACUACAAUACAAGCUCGAACUAAGUUAGUAGAAUCUCAUUAUUAGUGAGGCACCCUUAAAUACUUUUCAACUAGAAAUUAGGUUACUUCUUUGAGUUCAGUAAAUUUAAAUUCCAUGGUUGAUGUAGCUCUUCCUUUUGAGCUUGAAGACUAAUGUUCUACUCUCAUUACCUUCGUAUUAAAGAAUUGAGAUAAGCAGCAAACGGAAGGAUAUAUCUUUCCAAAGGGCUGAGUAAAACAUGACAGCAGAACAAAAAAAUUUCCCGACACUUAAGUUACAGAGUCCUACAUGACUUAUGUAAGAAAACAGUAACAACAGUGAAUCGGUACAUGCUGUUCUUCCAAACUAUGAACACCUUAAAUCUGCAUUUAUACUAAUUCACCUUUCAACUGGAUGAGAAAAAGGAACAACAAACCCAAGCAAUCAUAGUUUUAUAACAGAAUUCACCACUAAAGUAACACUAUCAUGCUUAAAAAUUGAAACUUUACUCAACAAACGAACCUAUUCCAAUCAACAAUGUAAAUUAAGCUGGAAAUGAAUAGGCUGUAGAACUAGAGCAAGACAUAAACACGAUCCAAAUCCAAAUUCAGCAAAUUGAACAUUACUUAUGGGAUGGUGAAGCCGUAGGCGGGCUCGAAACAGCAGGGGACAUGCUUGAAAGCCCACAGCUCCCAUCGGAUAGCGAGGGGCUCGACGCGGCCGUCAAUUGCUUGUUCUCCACGCAGCCCUGCUCGAUCUUCACAGCCGCCAUCGCCUCCAUCUAUCAUCUCCCCAACUCCAUAGCAUCAAAAGUCAAGAGAUAACCCCCCAAAACCCUACCUUUACGCCAAAACCGAGAUCCCAACGUCCGAAUCCCAAUUCAAAGGCCAAAAAAGCUCCCCAAUCCAAACCAAACCAUCUAGAAACAAAACCGAAAGGGAGCCCACGAUUCCUAGGGUUUCGGAUCGAUAAAACCGGAGGAAUCGAAGCGGCAGGGGAUCGAAACCGCGGCGGCGGCGCGAUCCGCGGAGGUCGGUGGGGAUUCGAAAGCUUAGUAUCGAUCGCCCGAGAGGGAAACCCCCCUCAGAGGAAUCGAGGAGCUCCACGCGCGGGGAGGUGGCGCGAGGGCGAAGCUAAAGAGGUUCGAAACCCUCGAAUCCACGAAACCUCGCCCCGCCCCUUCUCUCUCUCUCUCUCUCUCUCUCCUCUCUUUCUCUCUCUCUCUAACGACUCGAAGAAGCCUUUCAAAAAACCUCGCCCGUUGAAGGAAAGAGGAGAAAAGGGAAAAUUAAAAAAAAAUUAUUGCGUAGAAUUUACACAUACUCCCUGUAUUAUCAUUCCGUGAUAACUUACUCCCUAUUUAACAAAAGAUCAAAAUUUUGAAUAAGAUUAGCAUUACUUUUUAGUGUCAUAUUCCCAUUUAGAAUGAUCAGGAUAGGGACUAAAUUGCAAUAAUAAAAGUUUCAGAGACUAAACUGUUUUAAUUUAAAAGAAUAUGACAGUGCUGCAAUAUGUUUCUAGUACAAGGGCUUUUCAUACAAUUUUUAUCCAAAAUAUUAUUAUUAAAUUAUUUUUUACUGGAAGGGAAUUAAACAAAUGAAGGAAAGGGAUCUGCGACGGAGACUUAACGGAGCCGUUAAAUUAACCACGAGGGCAAGAGCGAAAGGCGCGUAACGGCUUCUAACGGCGUCCGGUGCCGUUGCGUGGCGAGUUUGAGUGUUUGAAACCUCAAACGGCACUCUCCCCGACUUUUAUGGUGGGGGGGAGUUAAGGGGCCGUUGGGAGCCGUUCGAUCCUUCGCGGGCUCAUUUGAGCCGUUGGAUCGAAACUGCGGACGCGAGAUUUUGUAUUAAAUUACUGAGGGGGGGGCGUUUUUUAUUAAAAUAAAAUAUUAUUAAGGGGUUAUGAGAAUUGAGAGGGACGGCUUAACUGUAAUGGCUUUAAUGCGAUAUUAAAGGAUUAAGAAGUUGGGAUUUUAAUUAGGGGAUAUAUAAUAAUUAUUUUAUUUUAUAUAAUUUCAUUAUUAUUAUUAUUAUUAUUAUUAUUAUUAUUAUUUUGAAUUAGUACGCAAAUCAUAAUUCAUAUUAUCCAUAAUAAUUUUUGAAAUAAAUUAAAUUUAAGGUUCAGAAUAUCUAAUUAUCAUAACAAUUUGGAAUUAUGGUUGGACCUAACAUCAUCAACAAAACUCUUGCAUGAUACAUAAGUGCAUAAUAUAAGCUCAUUGGAUCAAAUUUCUAUAUAAUUGUCAUAAUAAAAUGGAUUAGUUUACGAUAUGUACAGAGUUUGAUAAAUUAUCCUUUAUAUAUAUAUAUUCUUUGUAAAAUCUAAAUCUUUGUACGCAUACUCUUUAGAAACCCAAACCCAAAUUCUAUGUAGAAAUACACCCUUUGCAAUUAGAAAGCCUUCAUGUUGAUAAAACUUACUUUUAGCUACAUCUAAUGGGUGCCAAGCUACAACUAGUAUAACAGUUAGAUACUCAUAUAUCAACUAUAAUACAACUUUUUGAUAUAGGUUUAAUUUAGAAGUCAUCUAAGAUCAAAGUCUUAGUUAGGCCUGCACCUUUUUUAGUUUCGACUGGACCAUGCCAACUUGUCCCAUAACUUCUAUUAGUCUCGCGCGCCCUCACCCACGCCCGCCUGGGCACACACAUGAACCAAAAGAAGAACCUGCGCGCACACAUGAACGAAAAGAAAGAAAGAAAGAAAGAAAAUAAUGCCACACCAUGACUCUCCUGAGUCUACAUUUCUAAAAUCAGAUUUGAAUUCUCAAUUUCCCUGUACGCAAUUUUUUUUAUAUAUGGAAUCUAAAUAUGCCUUUAUAAACUUUUGAGCAUCGUUAAAAAAUACCACCUGAUUGUUGAAAGGAGACGAACAAAACACUCAAAAUCUACAUAAAACAUGGUUCUCUCGGGAGAGAUUUAUUUACGAUUUAAUCAAUUUUGUGCUAUUUUGAACGUUUAAAUGGUAAACUUAAAGUGGAGUGAGAGCAAUCCAAACAAACACUCAAGACUCAAAAUAUCUUCAAAAUUGACAUGUGUCAUUGUUCCCCACAUUCAUUAUAUACUCAAAUAUGUAUUAGCUUAGCAGGUCGAGGGAAAAGCAGAGUAAUUAACGAAUAAAAGCACAACAAAUUAGCUAACAAAAGUUACAACAUUACACCACAGCAGCUCGCUAUUUAGAUCUACACCUUUUAACCCCGAUUAGCAAGCGAGUCUAAUCCACACUUUUUUUAAAAGAACUUUUAUAAACUUUAAUUUUAAUUUAAUAGUCUAGGAACUCCAAAAGUUACAAAAGCUCUGUGGAGAAGCGCUUCCCAGCAAAAGGGUGAGGGAAAAAGAAAAAGGCAGAGUUCGGUAGCCUCGAAUCCCCGGCCAUUCCCAUUAUGUAAUUUAAUUUAAUUCCUCACGAGGUGUACUUGCAAUUCCCAUAGCCUGUAACAUAGCCAAAUCAAACAUUACUGCUUUGACUAAAUUAAUAACGAGCAAUAAUAAUAUGUUGGCAGUAAAAUUCAUAGAACCAUAAAUCAUUAUUUGCAAUUAAUGUCUUUUGAAAAUGAAAACUCUCUUUAUCCUAUGAGCUCAAUGGUGAAUGCGAGAUGAGUGUUAAAAUGAUACGGGAAUGAGGGAAUGAGUGGGUUACUGGGGUCAGUGGUGGUGACGACGCCGGUGCCGGAGAAGUAGCAGUCGAAGUCGUUGCGGCCGUUGGCCUGGAAGAAGGCGUUCAUGGCGAAGGCGGCGUGGGCCUGCAGGGUGUUGGGGAGGAAGCAGGCCCCGCCGUCCUGGAUGGGGCUGCAGUCCACGCCACCGCCGCCGCCGCCGCUGCACGCGUAGUUUAUGUUGCUCUGCAGCGCGUCCCCGCUCGCGUUCGACUGCGCCACGCACCACUUCCCGCUCCCCGACGGAGACGGGUUCGGCUCCGCGGCCUAAAAAAUAUACACAAAUAUACAUUCAGAAUAGUUGUUAUUGCGAUUAAAUCCAAUAGUAAUAUGAACAUUAAUAAAUAAUAAUCUAUGGAAAAGAGUGAAGGUGAUGGUUAGGAACAAACGGUACUAAUUAAUCGAUUAUUCUGAGCCCAUACGUGGUUAUGUGGGGUACGUAGGGAGGAGGAAAUCUUAUGGAACACGCGUUCCGAGCCUGGAUUCGCGCGCGCGCACAGCAGGCGUAAAGGACGAGGACGCGCAUCAAAGCAACGAUGGCUCGGGGCCGCCCAGGCCACACGAAUAAAGAAGCUUUGAUGCUCGCUAUGAUGUACCCGACCCGCCAACAUUGACUAGAAGCUCAUGGGUACAAUACAACGGACGGUUCCACCCAAUUAAAUCACCAUGAAAAUACCAAAAUCCUUAACACAAACACACACACACACGUGAAGAAAGCAAAAACCGAACCUCCUCCUCCCUAUUUGGUUAAUAGAGCUGUUGUUAAGCAAUUAUAUUUAGUAGGCCAUAGCACCAUUUUUUUUUUAAAAAAAAGGAAUAAUGCCUUUUUCAUAAAAGUUAUAUACCAUCUUUAGACUUAAUUUGAUAUUAAGAUAAAGUAAAGUAAGAAUAAAAAUAUAUAAAAAAAAAUGUUUUUUUUGUUUUCGGUAAAAUCAUAUAAAAUAUAUUGUAACCAAAUGAUCGCGAUAUACGUAUUAACGUAAUAUUAUGUCCAAAAGCAUAUCGUAACUCUACUCACCGGGUCGCGAAGAACGCCGGCGUCGUAGACGGCGGUUAGGUCGGGGCGGAAGAGGCCGAAGUUGCGCUCGGCCGUGGGCCCGGGCUUGAGGUCCUCGUUGAAGAGCGAGAAGACGUACGUCUCGAACGUCCGAUUGGGCAUCAACGGCGUGCCUUUCCCCGAGUUCACCAGCCGGAUCAGGUUCCCGUUGUACGCCGCCGCGUCAUCGCCGAGUACACCGCGUCCAGCUGCGCCUCGAACAUGUUCGUGUAGGUUAUCCCCGUCGCCGGGUCCAGCACCCCCGCGUUCGGCCUGAACAGCGCGUAGUCUAGGGUUUUGGGGGUGUAGCCGAAGUAGGGGUAGGGGUUCACCACGAAGGGGCUCUUCGUCUUGCGGUGGAAGUCCAGCAUCGGGGCGAAGAUGACGCGGUCGUAGCCGCGGCGGAACCGGCCCGUGGAGGGGGCGUCGGAGGCGGAGAGGAUCCCGAGGGAGUGCGGGGUCGAGACGCGGAUCUCCGGGAACCCCGCCGCGGCGAGCGCCGCGGAGAGGGCGCGCAUGGCGGGGACGAGGCGGGCGAUGAGGGUCCGGUCCGCGGUCGCGAGGAUCUCGUUGCCCACGGCGACGAGGGAGAUGUUGGUGGCCGGGUGGAAGGGGGCGACGUUCGCGGCGACCCACGCCGCGGCCCCGGAGGGGGCGGCGAGCGAGGGGAUGACGCCGUUGGGGGCGGUGAUCAUCACGGAGAUCCCCGUCCCCGCGAAGGCGCGGAUGAAAUCCGGGUUGGAGUCGAAGAGCUUCACGCGGUCCACGAACGUGUGGUCGCGGAGGAACGCCGCCGUGCGAGCCGGCGCCGAGAGCAGCGCGAGGAGCUCGAACACGGCGGCGAAUCGGAGGAGCGCUAGGGUUAGGGUUUGCGGCGGAGAAAGCGACGCCAUUGGAGAGGGAUUGGGCGAGGAGUUGCGUGGAGUGAGGCAGAAGCAGAGAUACAGCAGCAGGGUUCAAAAUAGUAUCCCCAUUUUAUUUUAAUUUAAUUCCGCGUUAUGAUAAAGACACCCCCUUUUCCACUUUUUUCCCAUCCGGGAAAAGGAAUAUAAAAAGGGGCGCUUUUACUGAAAGGGGGUAAGUAUAUCGAAAUUACAAUUAAGUAACGUAAGAGGUUGUAGUACGUUGACUGGUUUGACCCCUGGGCGGUGCCACGUGGCGAUGUGGACGAUGUCGGUUCCAACUCGGUAAGCUUACCUCCCCCUCCGUUAUUUUCGUGCAGUUUUAAAGUAAUGGUGGCGUGAUUGUGGGGUACGUGGGGGGCGUACGUGGUUCGUCGCAUUCGAGCCUAAGAUUUAUCCAAUUACACGAUUAGGCUCGCCAAAAGUGACGAGCCCAAAGUCCAAGCCGUGCUUAGAAUGGGUUCGGGGGGGAUGUGUCAAGCGUGUGAAGUGUUUGACCAAAUCGAGUGUCCGGAGACGUGAUGUGGUUGCUCAUUACGAGUUGCCACAGCAAACAGCUUUUUCAUCCAGUGGGAAUCCGACACGCGGGCCAUUCUCUUCUCCGAGGCAAAAUUGGCCCAAGUGGAUUGAAGCUCACAUGUUCGAGGAAAUAUCUCAGAGAACGGUUAAUUUACUUAGCAUCAGGUACUUUUCUCUUCCCUUUGUUUAUUGCGCAUUUGAUUCAAAUUUUUUUGGGAUGAUUUUGUUGAUAUCUUAUAGCAAUUGAAUCAUCUAAUUGUUUUGCAAAUUAAUGAUUAUAGUAAUGGUAAUAUGUUUAACAUGAUAUGUCCUACUACACAUUGUCUUAUGAUUAAAUCAAAUAUUAAACCCCUUUUUUUUCGUUUUUGUAAAUCAAUGGUAGUGGAGUUAUCCAUUAGUGAUGAGAUCCCUAAGGUCAAACUACUUUUGAUUAAAGGAUGGAUAAAAGAACAGGAUUAGAGAAAGGAAGAGAUGAAAAAGUGUGGUUUUAAAAGCUAUAUAUGCUUUUCGCCUAUUGUGUCUAAAGCUUUGAUACUUAUUUGUUGCUUCAAGUUAGAAAAUGAAAAAGGAAACCAAGAGAUGCAAAGCUGAGUAUUCUUCCGCUUUUGUGCGUUUGGUGUCUCAGUUUAUGGUCCUCUGUAAUUUGAGUAUAUUUGGCGCUGCUGUAAUGAAAAGAAUCACCUGAAUUAGGAUCUUGUUCAUGUCAUAAAAUUGUGAGAAAAUAUGUAGUAAGACAAUCUGAGACAAAAGUUGGUCCAUGUGAGUUCUUAAUCGCCUUAGCUUCUAUCACAGCCUUUUUUCAUGUUUUUCUUUUCUCUUCGCGAAAUGCGAAUAUCGUGAUCCACUAACCCAACUUAGAUUUGUAACUGGGUUAACCAUUUGGAUUGCUUUUUGGUAUUUUUUCCACUGAUUCCAGAUGAAGCACCUGAACAUCCCAGUUUCGUUCGGAGAACUUAGAAGGAGAGUAUAACAUACAUAGUCACUCAAAUCGAUAGCUAAUGUUCUAAGUAGAAUUAAAAGAUUUUUGUUUUGAACUGUGAAAUACUUGAUCAAGCCAUUAACCUUUAAUGGUGAGGCAAGUGCUCAGACCUUUACUUUGAAGUAAAAGGGGAAGAAACUCGAGACUCAUAAUAUAAAGCUUUUUGACCACUUUUCGUUAAAGUGGGUACAAUUAACUCAUCAGGGACUUCCCUUGUAGAAUCAAAAAUCAGAAUUUAUGUGGAUUCGCACGAGUAUGUGAUGUCUUAAGAAAGAAUAUAUAUCUUCUUAACUAUUUACAGCACUCAUUAGAGGAAGAAGAAUCUCUCGAAGUAGAAGUUAACUCUGGCAUUGUGGUCCUGUUGUGCGUAUAAUGAUCAAGGAUAUCUUAUUGAGAUUUUAUCAUAGAGUCAUCUACGUAUCUAAGCAAAUUUGCAUAAUUGAGUAAGAAACUGCUCUUAGUCGGUAAGCUAACUCAUUAGAAUUUUGUGAAUUUUGACAAAAUAUUCUGGAAACGAUAGAACGGAAAUGGGAUAAGUAGUUCAAUUUUCCUUUAAUGUAUUAUUGUUUUUUUUUUAGAGAGAGAGAUAGGUAGCACGCAACUCGCUUCGUUUAUUUCAUUUAGAAAUAAACUUAGCUGGAAAUGUGAAUCAAUUAGGAUUCGAACUUGGGACCUCGAGUACCAACCACCAAGCCCUUUGCCACUUGCACUAGAGACAGUCGGUUAAUGUAUUAUUGUUUGUUCAAGAAAUUUGAGUUUUGUGAGACACAGUUCCACUUUGUAGAGAUGGAUGCCUUCUCUGAAGGCCUGCGCAGCAGGCAUAAAUUGUUUUCUUACACUCAUACUAUCCGUCGCUCAAUAGAAAAGAGCUUCUGCAGCUUCUGUUUCUGCCGUAUAAGUUAUCGACUGCUUGCUAUGCCAGCAUAAGAAGUUCAGAAAACUAAGUUGCGGUGGAAUUUAAAGAAAGGGACAAAUAUGUUUGCGAAAUUUCUCACUAUGUAUAGCUGUGUAUUAUUUCAGAUUCAAACCACCAUUGAUUUAUCAGCAACAGGACAAAAUGAGAAGCUUCACCUGCACUGAGAAUGCAUAUACAUGUUGCAAAUUUAUUAUCAAUAUUAAAUUGUUCAACAGAGCCAUUGCCAGGUGUAAAUUGUGGAUUACUCUCAAAUAGAAUACUUAAUUACAUAGGGGCCAUUUUACGGCCUGUACCUACUUGCAUUAAGUAUUACUUCUACCUAAUAACAGCAGUAUGUGUUCUUACUUUUUAUGUUCAGGAAAAAUGAUGCGCAAUGAAGAACCAAAAUCGCGGCUAUCAAUCAAAGGCUAUUAUUGCUCGGAACUGGAAUGAUUCGCCAACACGCAACCUAAUUAAGUUUUAUGUACUAAUUCUGGUCUGAAGGUAUGUCUUAUUUUUUCUAAAUAAGCUUUCAUCAUCAUCAUCAUUAUUAUUAUAAUUCAUUAUUCUACCUGGUACGUUUUACAAGCUAUAAUUCGUGAAUGCAUUACAAUAGGAACCCUCUUUCACCUGCGUGUGAGUUUCGACAAAAUUAUUGAUUAGUUACUGAGUAAUAACUUUAGAUUAAAUUUUCUAUUUUUGAAGUUUUAGAAGCUCAGUACUUUAAGCUCAGUGUCGCGAUAAAAGUAACACAAUUUUUUUGCUUUUCUUAGAGCCGAGGAAUUGUUCUAAAUUAUAGCCCAACAAAUAAACUGUUGGACAACCAACAAAAUGUAAAUUAAAAAAAAAAAAAAAAAAGAAGAAGAAGAGAUGUUCCAACAUUCCGACCCAACUUUUCCCACCACCAUGUGUUAAAGAAAGCGACAACAUUCAAACUUAAUACGAACUUACCAACAAAGAGUACGUGAAGCUUACAAAUAAUCCCCAAUAUAAUUCUGGUAAUGCAAAUUGAUUCUUAUUCUUGUUUUAUUCAAGCACUUUAAUUCUCAAUAAAUUUUUACAUAUUAUACCGUACUCCAGUUCUCGCCGUAAGAAAAUUUGGAACUUUCUUUUGUUGUAAACUAGACUCUGGGUAAGAUGGUUGUUUCAUACGAAAAUUAUGUUUCUUAGGACCAACCAUGAAAGCUAAAUGCAAUAUUUAUUAUGUAUAAAACUUGGUAAGCUACAACAUUUAAAGUGAAAAACAUGAGUUAUCCACUCAUUUAUUAGAUACUAAUAAAAAUUACGGAAACACACGUCCUUUUCCUUUGACCAUUUUAUGUUUUCCUUGUUAGGAAAAAAAAAAAAGAGAUAAAAACAGCAAGGAAAUUUUAAAAUAAUAAUAAAAAAAAAAAGAAAAGUUGGCCUAAACAGCAACCUCCCUUAGCCCUUAAACAUCCCUGGAUCCCCCACGCUCCACCAACUAUUCCAAAUUAAAAGAGAAAAAAAAACCUUUCAUGGCCGAGGAAGAGGAGAAGAAGACGAAGAAGAAGAAGAAGAAGCAGCAGCAUCAUCAGCAUCCCCCUCCCCAAAACCCUAACCCUAACACCCAAUUCCCCUCCUUCUUCUCCUCCGCCGGGGCGAAGAAACCCUCGGCCUCGGCAUCGGUCUCGGCCUCGGCCGCGGAGGCGCAGUUCAAGGCGAGCUCGGAGGUGAAGGGGCUGCGGUUCGGGGGCCAGUUCGUGGUGCGAUCGUUCACGGUGCGGCGGGCGUCGCCGCUGGAGCUGCUGCGGCUGCUGGACAUCCCGGCGGCGUUCCUGGCGCGGUGCGCGAGCCUGCCGUUCCCGUCGACGACGACGUACCUCCCGACGAGCUUCACGAUCCUCGCCCACCACGCGUGGCGCACGCUCACGCUGGGCCUCGGCACCAACAAGUCCAAGGCGCUGGUCUUCGUCUUCGAGUCCGAGGCCAUGAAGGCCGCGGUGGACCAGCUCUGGCCCCCGCUCGUCCCCCUCGGCGACGUCAACAAGAAGCUCAUCCGGGGCCUCACCGGCACCGACAUGGCGCGCUUCAAGUUCCGCAAGGGCUGCCUCACCCUCUACGUCUACGCCGUCCGCCGCUCCGGCGCCGUCGGCUUCGCCUGCGCCGACGAUCUCCGCCGCGUCCUCGAGGCCGUCGUCGCGCUCAAGGACUUCCUCGACCACACCGCCAUGCUCGCCCUCCCCACCCAGCGCUCCAUCGCCUUCGCCCCCCCCACCGCCGUCGCCAUGGCCCACUGAUCCUCCCCCCUCCUCCCACCAGGUUCCAAACUCAAAUUCUUUACAAAUUUCUCUUCUUCUUCUUCUUCUUCUUCUUCUUCGAUUUUUGUGGAGCCUCCUCAACUACAGCCCAAUAUUUGAAAUUAGGCGCCCCCCUUUAACUUUGUUAUUAUUUUCAAUUUUUAAUUUUGACACUUCUAUUUUUCUUUUCUUUUUUUCUUCUUCUUUUGGAUUUUGAGUUUUCCUAGUUGUUAAGCUUCAAAUUUUUAUUGAGGUGAUAAAAACAUCAAUAAACGUGAUAAAGUUUUUAAUUUUAUUCUAUUAGAAUAGCUUAAUUUUGAAAGAUCUCAAAGAGUGAAGUUAAGAAGGAACCAUUUUAGGAUGAUCCGUCUUAUGGUUGAGAGGGUUUCUGUACAUUUUUUUCCUUUUUCACUUUGUCGAGUAGUAACAACUUGAUCUUUUGAAUAGUUCUCCUUUUUUUCCCCUUUUUUUUUUUUUUACUACUUUGAUUUUAAUGAGCAGUGAGGUAAUGCUGCUCAAAUUUGUUUUUUUUUUUAGUUAAAUUCUGUUUAUAGAGAAUUUAAUCCCCUUGUAUUAGGAUUUGCUCAUUGAGUGUGCGUAGAGCUGUGCUGUUCAGUCCAAUUUGUGUAAUUUUUGUGUCAUGAGACAAUUCUUUGUUCAUUUUGUUGUUCAAGCCUAUGUUCUCCAUGUGCAUGUAAUAUAUUAUUAUUAUGCUUCAAAAACCUCAGUUCUCCAUGUGCAUGUAAUAUUAUUAUUAUGCUUCAAAAGCCUCAGUUCUCCAUGUGUAUGUAAUAUUGUGCUUCAAAUUCUCCUCCUUUUUUUUAAAAAAGGGAAAAGAAAAUAUUUAGUGAGGAAUAGUACUAUCAAAAAUAGUGGUGGGGGUUUGAAGUUUAAACCCAAGAAGGAUUUGUAUCCGCCGAACAAAAGUGGUUAAGUGAUGGGAACAGCAUUCCAAUUUCCAGCGGGGGGAAAGUGACCUGGUGGUGCAGAAUCUUUUUUAAGAAAAGUGGAUGCUUUUGGGUGGGUAGCACCAGCAGGCAGGCAGCAGUCGGUCACCCUGGGAAGAGAGAGGGGGGUGGGAUGGGAUGGUGAGGAGAGUGUGAAUGAGGCGCCUGCUGCUGUUUCCUUUGUUUGGAAGGUGAGUUAGUGCUCAAUAAAUGUAUCUAUCUCUAAUAAAAGAGGGGAGGAGGGGAGGACCUGAGACUUUGUAAGUAAGCGUAGACGUAUUAUGAACUGCAGUAAAAAUAUGAGGGGAUAAAACUGUUCACCACUGCUAGGCAUUGCAGAUAUCCAGAACAUUAUUUCUUCUUCUUCUUCUUUUUUCUCUUUUUUGUAAAAUAAGAUAUCUAGACUAGAAGGUUUCCUCUCUUUUUUAUAGAACAAUUGAGCAGCCGCAACAUCAACAGAGAGCAAAACAAUACUGGUUUACAGACGAUCUGAUCUCCACAGAUUAAAUCUCGAAUAAACGGCGUUUUGGGGUGUUCGACGGACGGAAUAUUAGACACUCAUAGGGGAGGAGGGAAGGGAAGGGAAGUGGGGAGGAACAUCAUGCUCGGCAGGUGAUGAUGGGAGAAGGUGGCCUACCAUUACUGUCAAAGUAGAGAGAGAGAGAGAUAGAAAGAGAGAGAAGGGGAAGGAUAAAGAAAGGAAAUGAGGAGGUGGGUCUGGGGCCCGAAGAGGCAGGGGCCCAACAAUCCACCUUUCGGUCUAUCAAAGCGAGGACACGGACAUUUACUUACCUCUCUCACUCCCUCCCCCUCUCCAAUCUUCUCUAAUUAAAGCUAUUGCUUUUACUCCAUGCCAUGGCUGCUGCUGCUGCUGCUUUAUUCGCCAUAUAUAUAUAUAUAUUACUUAACAAGUGAGCACAAUCAUGGCGCAGAUGGGCUCCUGCAUGUGCAGAGAGAUAAGAAGUGCCUCCCCAAGAUUUUUUUUUUUUUCUUUUCUUUUUUUUGUGACCCUACCAAUAGACAUAUUAUUUAUAUGGACUGUAUAAUUUCUGUAUGAUUUUAUGUAAAAAAAUAAAACUGAGUCCACUAGNCUUUUUUUUGUGACCCUACCAAUAGACAUAUUAUUUAUAUGGACUGUAUAAUUUCUGUAUGAUUUUAUGUAAAAAAAUAAAACUGAGUCCACUAGUUUCAGUGCCACAACUGCAGAUAAAAGUAAACAUCAAAAUGAGAAGUUCCUGACUGAGCAGAUCGAAUUUUGAGUGGAAAAUGAAAUGAAUUGGCCCCAUUUGAACUCCUCUUAUUCACACCGCUACUAAUCUCAUAGAUACAAGUGGUCCAUGAUGCUAAAAUGUAUGCGUAAAAAUUAUCAUUACCAAUUGCCUCUUACUCCCCAAGUAGAGUUGUCCAAAAGAAUGAUUCACAUCCACCCUGGGUUUUUAACUACACCGGAAGAACGUAAGAGGGCGAGUAACUAGAAGCAGCAGCUAAUGAGGGUUGAUCAGUAAACCUGCAUGUGCAAAGAAUCAGAAGCAGCAUCUGUGGCGAAAAGAAAACACUAGUGCUGCUGCAAGAACCGAUCAGUUCCUCGUGCUCAAAAUUGACCUGAAUUCCACAACCAAUGGAGCUAAAACAUGGAGUAGAGGGUACUAAACAGAGAGUGAUGCAAAACAUAAGACCUAUUCACUUGAUGCGAGCUGAUCAAACAGUGCCGCGCAAUUAUAUGUGCACAACAUCACAACAUCAGAGUAAUGCUAUUGUCUCCGACAAGCUAAGUCUUAAAAGAGAAGGAUAUGAUACAUUGAUCUUCCAACAAGCCCUAGAUAAAGUAUAAAUAUUUUUCAAGGAAUUGAAUAGUUUCGAAGUCAGAACUGUAGAAGUUUGACCAAUAUACAAUAGACGAUGAGUUCAAGAUCCUAGAAGCACAUUUUCACAUACUAACGAUAAAUCAAUACAGGUUCCUCAACUCAAACAUGCCAAAUAACUUUCUUGAAUAAGGUACUAUUAAUUAGAAAAAUAAUUUUCUUGCCUUCAAACAAGCUGGAGAAUCUAAAUACAUAUGUUUCAUGUUGAAGUCAUGGAUGUUAUGCAGAUCACAAAAUCCAUUGCGUUUUUCAAAGUUCAAUUCGAGUAUACCACACCACUUCUUGCCAUACAUUUUGGGAGCAAAUGUAGGCGUUCCUAUUAAUUAAGAAAGCUACCUGAAAACCAGACUUACAAAAAAAAUUCUCAAUACUGUCGCCUAUUCAAUGAGAACAAAGCAUUCAUCAACGUAGUACUUUGCAAGCCCCAUGGUCAUUCCAUUAUGACCAGAUAAAUGAAGUUGCGAAGCAAGAGAGGGGCAAGGUUUCAAAUUCUACUUGUACGAGAGAUGUGUCGAUGAAGGCACACUAUCUAGAUAAAUAUGUUCAUAUUUUCCUGAUUUGUUCACAUUCUCCCUAACGCAGACAGCUCAUCAAAGGGACACAAAGAUUCAUGCUAUCUAAUAAUUAGUGAAAAUUGAUCGGCGUGAGCAUUUAAAAUGCAACGACCAACAACAAGAAAUACCAGGAAUUCUUUAUAAACAACUUUCCUAAUAUAUCACCUACAACUUUUACUGAGUGAAUCACAAAUGGAAAAUACACAAGGUAGCAACAACAUCAAGAAUCCUAAUUCAAAGUACGAAAACGACGGUAUCAUAAGAACUUCUUUACAACGAGAGUUAAUCUCUUAUACUUUGAUUACUGUAUUCAUAAAAGAUCAUCAAACAUGACGGUGCUCAAAAGCAAGUACCUCUAAACAAAAUAAGCACUCAAUGCAUUAUCAAAAUAGUCAAUAUCAAUACACUUACAAGCACAGCUUACUAGCGCAUGACCUCCCUACUAUGAAAGGCCAAUAACAUGGUGUAGACUAAGAGCUUCAUUUUUCAAAAUGAACAUAACAUACGGCUAGAUGAACACAUUCAUAUCAAUUAUGGCAAUCAAAUUACCAGAUAGAUAACAAAGCCAUAGCACUGGAUUUGAAUAACGCUAACAUCCAAUUAAAGCUAUAACCAGCAAAUGACAGAAAGACGAGCAAGUUACCAUCCAGCCAAUCAAUUCUUCUCGUGCCUUCUAUGCUUCCUGCUCCUCUCCUCGGAUCGCUUCUUCUCCUUCCUGCCUCGCAGCUCUUCUUCAGAAUCCGAUCCACUGAUUUCAGAGUCACUCAAUGAAGCCGCUUUCUUCUUCCUCCGGCGCUCAUUAUGCCUGCUAGACCUCUUACGAUCAUCCGACGACUCAUCACUUUUAUCAGAAUCACUCUCCGAUGCAUCCUUCCGCCUGUUCGUUCGAUUAUGGCGUGAAUGCCUAUCUGGUUCUCCUUCUGAAUCAUCCUCAUCAGAGUCCUUCCUCUUGUGAUGGCUCCGCCGCCUCUUCUUUUCCCUCCUGCUCUUCCUAUGCUUCUUUUCAUAAUUAUAGUCGUCGUCAUCAUCAUCUGAAUCCCUGCGCCUUCUCCUCUUCUCCAUUCUCCUCGCUUCAUCCUCGCUAUCGAUCUCAUCAUCGUUCUUGUUCAAGCUCUUCCCGCUCCUCCUAUGCCUCGAUCGACCCUUCCUCCUACGGCUCCCCUCCUUCUCAUCAUCCGAUCUCUCCUCUCUCCCCCUCGCCGCAGAAGCGGAGCUCCUCUUGCUCUUCUUACCGUAGCGAGCAGCGAUGAUCUUCUCCAUCUCCGGAUCCACAUCUGAAUCCGAGCUCUCGCUCUCUUCCUCCUCCUCCUCCGACUCGUCGCUCUCCCCCGCCUCCUUCAACCCGCUCGCCUUCUUGAUCCUGUCGAAGGCGGCGUUCGCGGCGUGGAUCGCGGCGCCCUCGUCCCUCUCGUCCUGUUGGUCCUUCACGCUGAGGAAGUUGCGGCACUGGAAGGUCAGGUGGCCAACGCGGCCGCACUUCUUGCAGGCGCCGCGCGCCUCGUCGGCGCUGGAGCCGGUGAUGCGGGCGAGGGCGAGGAGGCCCUGGAAGCUGGCGUAGGCGUUCUCGCCGCCGUCCCCACCACCACCGCCUCCCCCGCCACCGCCGACGCCACUGCCGCCGCCGCCGCCGCCGCCGCGGGGGGCGGAGGAGGGCUUGGAGGGGUCGGGCUUGUCCUUGUUGGUGGGGGCGUAGGGGUCGUAGCCGAUCGCGCUCUGCCAUAUGCCGUGCGUCUGGAGCGCCGCGCUGCUGUGGACGCGGUUGUUCGCGGGCAUGCGAACCCUCCCCGCCGUCGCCGGCAUCUUCGCUCAAGAUCGUCGGAGAAGAAGAAGACGAAGAAGGGGAGGAUCGCUAGGGUUUCUUCGAGAGAAAAAGGGCGAAGAGGCAGAGGAGAUCGUUCGAAUCGAUCGAUCGGUUUCUUUUAUAUAUUAUUUUUAAUUUUUAAUGGCGGUGUGGAUGCGACGCGGAAUUAUUGGGUCGAUCGAUCUCAACCAUCCGUUUUCGACUGUUAUGAUCCGCAGCGUCCCUUGGGGUCCACGUGCGUUGCACGUGAUCGAAGCUCCCAACAAUUAGGUUCCGUUCGCGGAUCUUAUCCACGCGAUCCGCGAACGGACCCAAUCCUUUUGGGACGAAUUUCGCUCUCCACAAAUCAAUUCACAAUCCAUCCAUCAAAAUAUUAAUAUGAAUAUGACUUCAAUUGAUUUAUAAAAGUUUUAAAUUAAUCUUAAUAAAUAUAGACAAAUUUGUUAAUUCGGAUUUCCCAUUAUUUGUAUUUUCCACGCAUAUCUAUCUAUCCACACAAGAACGAAGAAAGAAAAAAGAAAAAAGAAAAAAAACCUUGCUAAUCUAUUUUAUGAGUGACCAACAAAAUUCAAUCCGACGGACCAACCUCGUUCAUUCCAAACAAAAAAGUUUAAGCCCUAAUAAAGAUUCACGAAAUUACUUAGAUUCACAUUAUCCCAUCAAAUCCUUACCUUAUUCUAGUAUUCAAAACAUUCAUCAGGAUGAAUGGAACACUUCUUUCAUCGACUAAUGAGAAAUUGUCUAUAAUUUACCAAAGAAACAGGAAUUGCUGCUCAAAAAAAAGCCCAAAAGUGGUUUUUGCUCAAAAUAGAAGUUAAGAAACAGGGUUUUGCAGAAGCUACUGGGAUUUUUCUUAAUCAGGCGUCGCGGCACCCUGGUUGAGCUCCGCAAAUCUCAUGCCGACCCUCAUGGAGUGCUUUAAGAACUUCUCGGCACAUCGGCGAACACACGUCUCCUCUUGCUUGUCGAGAGUCUUACGCCUAAAGGUCUCCACGCAGUCGGUGAAGCAUCUCUCGACCAGCGAAUUGUACAUUCUUAAACUGCAAUAAGAACAAGCGAGAGGAAAAGUAAAACAGCUAUUCUCAGAAGCUAUGCGUAGAUUCUCAUGAGAUCAUCCUAUUACACUUGAAAUCAACCUCGAUAUUGAUCCAAAUUAUGCCGUCGGUGGCUGUUGCUACUGUAAAAUUAAAGCAUGCCGUUACUGCCACUCUCUAUCCGUGCUUGUACCUAAAGACGAUAUUAUCUCUAAACCAAGCACAUCAAACCUAGUAGCGAGAAUAUGGAGUACUACUAAUGUAAGUAUCAGUCACCUUAUACAUGAAAUCAAGAAGAGAGAAAAUUCAUCAUUUAUAACAUGCAUAUACAGAAAGUACGUUUUGAGCUUUGACAUACGAUUUGGAACCAAAUUGGAGAGCGAAAUAAGAUAAUUUUCCAGACACAACAAUAGUAUAAUGUUCUGGAGAUAGAAGGCCACCAGAGAUAGCUUCACCUCAUAAGAUAGGAAAUUUCAGGGUUUAAUAAUCUCUAUAAAAUACAAGUACUAGUUGAGGCGGAUUGUUCAUCUUCUGAAUUACAUUCUUACCCGACAUAAAUGUAACCGUCCAAGAUUAUCAUUCUACUUAUCUUACGAGUCCAGUUGCUGUAACUACUUGUAGGAGUCAACCAUUUCCAAAUUGACUACAAGAGUUGGAAGCUAACAUUCUAUAAGUAGAUUGUGCACAAAGUCCAUACGAAACCUUGUAGCUUCCCAUUAAUGAUGAUAUCAUUGAUAAUAGGAUCCAGCAGCCUAGUACUUUAUAGCCCAAAUCACCCCCAAAUGAGCUUCUAGUUUAAACAAAAGAAAAGGCAAACAUCUUCGCACCGAAGUCCAUUUACAAUAUCUUCAAUCAACUCACAGAGUUUGGAAGCUGUCGGUGAACCUAAAAAACCAGUUUAUUAAAAUUUGAUUUGACUUUUGUAGACCCCAAUUUAGCCAAUCACAAGAAUAUACACCAAAAAUCCAAUUAAAUCUUAUAUGCACAAAAUAAACUAAAUUCACUGCUGUGAACUUGUUUAAUCAAAUGCAUACAUCUUCCCACCGAAGUUCAUUUACAAUAUCUUCAAUCAACUGACACAGUUGGAAGCUGUCGGUGAACUUAAAAAACCAGUUUAUUAAAAUUCGAUUCGACUUUCGUAGACCCCAGUUUAGCCAAUCACAAGAAUAUACUCCAAAAAUCUAAUUAACUCUUAUAUUCACAAAAUGAACUAAAUUCACUGCUGUGAACUUGUUUUGACUAAAAACCGAUGUCCUCAUCAAUCUCACUUGCCCACUCAACCUCUUAUUCUUUCUGUGAAUCUCCAACAGAAUAGAAACAAUAACCAUUAGAGUUAAUUGAUUAGCCAGGGAAACAAUCUAAGUUACUGCUAUGAGAAAAAAGGGGUGGGUAAAUCCAGCGAAUUGAGAAACAAAGCUCAUCCUUCAACACCAGAAAUUUAAGAACCCAAAAUGAAUGGUUAAGCCCUUAAGUUUGAGGAUCAUUUGACCAUACACACCUUAAUCUUCGAUACAUCCUAUGUGAUUACUUUGCUUCAAUCACAUUCUCUUAUACUUCAACACGACAACACCUCCAUUGAACAUAAAACUCAAAUGCUUGACUCUGAUCACUGCCAACUACUUCAAAACAUAACAAUCCUACGCUUCUACAACAACAUAAAGCAACAAUCAAGUGUAAAAGCAUAUACUUUACCUUCCAAAAACCUAAGAAUCAGUAAUAAAAUCCCAAAAUUAACAGCUUACCAUCAACAGCUACUACUAACAUUUGGUCCAUUUCUCAAUCAAGUAAUACACUUGAACUCAUCAAAUCUACAUAGAUCAUAAGCUAUUCACAUGCUUCAUAGAUUUCAUCAAUCGAUUCAAAACAACAAUGAAACAGAACACUAAUCCAAGGAAAUAAGGGAGAAGAAGAGGGGAGGGGAGGAGACCUGUCGCGGAUCUGGAGCUGGUCGAUCAUGGCGGACAUCCGGAUCUUGUCCUCCUCGGGGAGCGAAUCCAAAUCUCCGAGCAUGCUCUUAUCCAUCUUCGCCUCCUCCCUCGUAUUCUCCUCCGCCUCACCUUGCUCUGGAUCUCUAGGGUUUUGGUGGGGACGAUGAAGGAGAUGGUGUAGAAGGAGAGGCCGCGACCGCGAAAUCUAAAACCCUAGUCGAAGCGUUUGGAGUUGGUCAAAGAACGAUGUGAUCCGUCCAUUCGUCGAACUUGCCACAUGUACGGUUGAUAUGAGAUCCUGCAUUUUUCUUGUAACAGCGCCGACUUCAUGUUAAUUUACCGACUUCUUCAUAUGAGUUUGGGCUCAAUUCGGUAAUCCCUCUAUUUGGCCCAUGGCCCAAGAUGCCGAAAUCAGUUAUGAAUCAGAUCUAACACUAACUCUCUCUCUUCUUUUUUUUUUUUCUAUAUUUAUGUUUGCCGAGAAUAGAGCAUAUUCAUCAAAUCUCGUCACAUUCACUCAAUUAAUAAUGACCAGAUUCAGUAAUUUAUUAAAUAUUAUCGUAUUACCUUUUUUGGUACGAAAGAUGGGGAUAAGUGAGAUCCCUAUUCAAGAUUGUAUUAAAUUGAUCAGAUAUGUGGGAGCGUAAACAAGUUAACUUAGACCGAGUAUAAGAUUGGAUUAUUUUUGUAUUUUUAUAAUUGGUUGCUCAUCUUAAUUCAAGUUCGAAUCAUUUGUUAACAAUCGAGAUGAAAUUAAAGCCCAAAUCGUGGGUUGGUUUGAAAUAGUAAUUGAAAACUGAGACAAAAAGCGCAUCCUGCAUUGAGCUAGCUGCAACUUCUUAGUUCACAUUUCACAGCUAGAAGCAAAUUAUAAUACUUUUUACAGGAAUGUAAAGUCUCAAAAUUCUGGUUAGAGAGAGAGAUCAAGAUCUUUUCUUAUGAACUUAUUAAAUCUACAUGUAAAAAGCAUCACCGACGGUUUCUACUUGAAGCUUCUCUGCUUCUAUUUCAAUAAGAAGCUAUUUAGCGAGUCAUCAAGCUACAAGUAGCUUUUUCAAACAACUUAACUCAAAUAACACUUUUACGGAGAUGAAGCAGAAUCGAAAACUCUCUUAUCUGAUAAUAAUUUGAGUUCUAUGUCAUAAUGGCAAUUAAAAAGCAAAGAAAAAUCUUCUCUCAAGCUUUUCGUAUAAGGUGGUUUCUUUCUUACAGUUACUUUCAAGAGAAGUUGAAUUACUGAGUGACUACACCAAUUAGCUUUACUCCACCAUUAACACAAAUCAAAUAGAAACACACUAAAUUUCCAAACCUUUAUUCAGCACCAAAAGCACACAAAAACACACACAGAUAUAUGGCAGGAGUUUAAUAUGCACCCAACUUCACCAGCCAUGGUUACAACUAUUACACUCCCAAUCCAUCAUUCAUCCACACCAAGAAGUAUUAUUAAUUGGCACACACAUCCAUGGCCUAUUUAUUUGUUAUAGAACUACAGAUGUUCCAAAGCAUAAGACAAAUUACAUAGAUAUGUCACACCCCACACAUGUUCAUCCCCAGGAGGUAUUAUAUGAAGCUGAUGCUUCGUAAUUUAGCACCGGCAAGGGUUACACCGGCAGCUGGAUCCACACGAGCAGCUGCAGCUCCCCUCGGUGGUCUCAGAAACCUUCUCGAGUCCUUCGAAUUUCCUGCGAAAACCAUUAACAGCAAAUUGCAGUAAGUAACAGGGACCUGUGACAGUUUCUCAGCAGCAACAUCUGAGUUUUGUGUGGUAGAGGAACAUACCCCUUCUCAGGAGCAACCCCAAGGAUCACAGUUUCAGAGGUGGUGCUCUUCUCAGCCAUCUCAGGGUACAUCUUGCAUCUGCAACAAAAUAACGGAAUAAAAACAAAAUUACAAGGUUUAUGCAGAUAAGUACUAUAUGCUGAAACAUAGUAGCAGAAAAAUCAGAAACAUAUCUACUUCCAAUUCCAGAAUCAGAAGAAAUCAAUUUUUUUUUUAAAAAAAAGAGAUCUUCAGCAGAAGCAACAAUCAUUACUUAUAUUAAUUACAGUUGACCAAACUGAAUUUCAGGGAUGCAUAUAAAAGUUUAACAUCAAAUUUUGAGUUUUCUAAAGUAAAAAACUCAUUCUGAAAAUUAUCAUGCAUGUAGCCAAAUCCCACGCAGUGUUCAUCACAACAAAAAGCAGCAAACUCCUUUACAAACAAGAUGAUGAAUUAAAGUCAUAACAGGAAUCUUUUGAAACAUGUAAUAAUCUUUGUACCCUCCAGAGCUGCCGCAGCUGCACCCAGAACCGCACCCGCACUUUCCGCCGCUGCAAGACAUCUUCUUUCUGAUCUUCUGAAGGAGAUUCUCAAAAAACCAACUAUGAAUCAAACUAGCAGUGCCUCAUUGCUUUAUAUAGAGAGGAGGGGAAGAGUAUAUAGAUAUCGACCGUCCAUCCACGUGUCGUCCUCCUAUUGGUAGACUAGCUAGAAAAACAUUAAGUUUAUGCAAUGACUUUUUAAAUGAUGAUUUUGUUUAUUACUAUGUGUCUGAAAAACAAUAACUUGGUGAGGAGUAAGGAACUCAGUGUUUGCUUUCUUUGUAAGAGGAGGUUAGGAAAAACAAUAAUAAAAAGAAAAGAAAAGAAACCAAGAAAUAAAAGUUAGCAAAAUAGUUAAUGCCCUCAUGGGUAACUUCAAAGGAGAAUUGUUGCAAUAUAAUAGAAGGACAUCCACAUCAAAUACCUUAGUUUAAUUCAACUAAGCAACCAUCAAUGUCAAGUACACCUCACAUCACCAAUAAUAUAAUUCUUCUAUAUUGUCUUAGGACAACUCCUUUGUUUAUUUAAACAUAGAAAAAUCACAUUAUCACUAAUAAUUAAUCAAGAUUUAAUUAGAUUGGUUCGACCGACAUUAAGUAUUUGAGAUUAAGAUUUCAUUAGCUUGUGUGAGUGUUUUUUAUGUGGAUAAAGAAUCUCAAACCAAUUUGACUAACUAUUGCAUGUUCAAUUAAUGCCUCCCUUGGUUUAGUUUAUAUCUAAAGAUAUGGAUUACGCAUCGCAUCGAACAAGUCGACGUUUGCAAUUAGAUGAUCGAUGAUACAAAAAUUAACAUAUUAAAUGUGUCAUAAAAUACAAAGAAAACAAAUAUUGUCUCAUUUCAUUACGUAUAAAGAAGUGUCAUGCACGUAAACUCCACAAGAAGACUUUCUACAUUGAAAUUUUAACAUUUGAUCAUUUCAAACGAGUUUUGUACUUACAAUGCAUGAAUUAGAUAUAGAUUGCACACCGAAGCAAGCAAGAUUCAACGGCUAUGCGAAAUUAGUAUUAUAUAUAUUAUGUGCGUCGAAAAUUGUAAAUUUAUGUGCUCAAAAUUGGAACUUGAGCUACAAGAAUAUACAAAUUAAUGAGACAAUUAGCUGUAACCUCUGCCUAUCCAACUUUGUGUUUUAAUAGAUAAUGAACAUUUUUAAAUUUUGAAUUAACAGGCAGAUAAUGAACAUUGGACCUUGUUUUUUUUUUUUCAUGAAUUUUUUUUUUUCCCCAUCAUGCCAUUUUAUUCUUGAGGCUGUGUUAAUUAUCAGGUGGGGUUGAGUCUCUCUCUCAAUUGAGGGAGGGGAAAAAAAGAAGUGUGAUCUAACACAUUGAGAAUUUGAGAUAAAUGCAUUUGAGGUGAAAUAUGAUCAGGGUAUCUAGAAGCAUGAUCUAACAAAGAUUUGGUCAUCUAAUCAAAUGAGACUAAUUAAUAUAAGAACAAGGCUAUUGUUUUUUUUCCCUUUUUUUUCUAUAUGUAUUCCUUUGUUGUGUGUGUGUGUGUGUGUGUGUGUGUGUGUGUGAAAUAUGAUCAGAGUAUCUAGAAGCAUGAUCUAACAAAGAUUUGGUCAUCUAAUCAAAUGAGACUAAUUAAUAUAAGAACAAGGCUAUUGUUUUUUUCUCUUUUUUUUUCUAUAUAUACUCCUUUGUUGUGUGUGUGUGUUUGUCGGAUCAUGACUUUUUCUCAGCUAAUUAUAUACUGAAAAUAAUUUCAUGAGAUAAAUAUGAUAGUGUCAAGUAUUAAGAUUCAAAUUAAGUGUUAUCUGAUGAUCAGAAAUGUGUCCCAGUGGGAUGCAUUUUUACCCAAAUUCCUUUUAUAUCCAGUCAUAUUUCUCUUAUCUUGUCAUUUUUAUUACUUUGGACUAAAGAUGAAAGCAGAUAUAAGUUGCAAAAAAAAAAAAGAAAAUUAAGCCAUUCAAAAGCAAAAGAAAAUGAGUAAAGUAUCUCAUUACAUCAUGCACCCCAAGAAGAUAACAAUAAUUUUCCAAGUCAAACAAAUUAACCACUAUUCUCCAUUUCUAACAACUGAGUAUACUGAUUGCACAUAACAUUAUUGCACCAUAAAAAUAAUUAUACAGUAUCUCUCUACUCCAAAAAGCAUGACAAUGGGGUAUGUGAUGGCUUCACUAGCAGCUUCUUAAAAGUUACACCCUCCAGUGCAUGUCUUUAUGUCUUCAAUGCAAGUCCUGCUAAGGUGGUAUUCAAAUGAAUCAACAAAAAAUUAAGUUCCGCCGAGUCAUCGCCUCUUCUCUUCAGAUUUCGAUCUCGCGUGUGUGUACUUCUUUUCUCUUGUUUGUUUUCUCUAUUGGCCCAGUGGAAACAGAAGGUUUCGAUGCUGAAACAACAGGAGCAACAAAGUUAUUUAAACCGAGCACAUGACAUAGUGAACAAACAAUAACUCCGUAAUUUGCAGAUAUAGGAACUAAUUUUUGUAGAUUGUAAGUUAAACACCAAAAGUAAACCUGUAUCAUUAGAGCAUCUUUCCCUGGUCUUCAUAGCAUGGCUUUUGACUCGCAUAAGAUGAAAUUGCACAUCAUGCCUUGUGUGCUAGAAAGGUUGCCACCCAUGCUAGUUCCAAAGGAAUUUGAAAACUGUUUCGUAAUAAAAAGUUAUCUCAGGCAGAAUAGCCAUUACGGGAUAAAGGUUCAGGAUUGCAUGCAUACAUCUUUGUGGAAAUGAUUGGGGUAGUCAUGGAUCAACUUGUCAUACAUCUCAAAGUGAUAAGGAUUUACCGUUGUGUUGCUCAAUAGGAUAUUGCUUUAAUUCAAAAAAUAUGUAUUAAAUACAAAACAAUACACAUAACAGCCAACUUACUUGUAUGAUUCGGCAUCGCAGCAACGCCUUGCCGUUUAAGACCAUGUAACUGCUUUAAUUUAAUCAACAAUAAUUUUACUCAGAUCAAGACUCCGUGCUUCAUUUCCAUCUAUCAGUCUUCUUAGUCCAGUUUUCAGUUCAGGAACUCCCUCCUGUAAAAUAGCACAAACAGGAAAUAUUGGAACAUCUCGAACCCUCCUCUGUAAUUCUUCACACACUUUUUCAGCACCGUCUUCAUCAAUUUUAUUGGCAACUAUCAAAGAAGGCCGACUCGACAAUCCUUCCUGAUGAUACUCGAGCUCCAAAACCAAAUCCCUCAACUGUUCCCAUGGUGAAAUUCCCUUUCUACCGUUCAAAGCUGCAGCUAAGUCGACAACAUAGGCCAAGACUUUUGUUCUCUCUAUAUGCCUCAAAAAAGCAUGCCCUAACCCCCGAUUCUGAUGAGCGCCUUUAAUUAGCCCUGGAAUGUCCGCCACCUUUACAGAAAAAAAGUCCUCAUAAUUCAAGUUUCCUAUAUUGGGUCUUCGAGUGGUGAAAGCAUAAUGGCCCACAACAGGUUGGGCACGUGAAAGGGCCCCUAGCAAGGUGCUUUUACCAGCAUUUGGCAUGCCAACAAGGCCGACAUCCGCAAUGCUCUUUAAUUCUAGGAUAAGCACGCUUUCAGAUCCGGGCUUUCCAGUAUGUAACAAAGAUUCAUCUUCAUCAUCAAUGUAUGCCAAAUUGGAAGAAUUAUCUUUGAUCUUUUUGCGGGACUUGUGAUCUUUCCUUAGACAAGCAUUACCGAGACCACCCUCCCCACCUCGAGCGAUUAUUAGGCGUUGGCCCGGCUCAGUCAAUUCUGCAACAGCAUAUUGCACCUCCUCCUCUUCCUCCUCCUCCUCCUCCUCCUCCUCCUCCUCCCCAUCAUCAUAAUCAAAAUCAUCUUCACUAUGAUCUUCUUCUUCAUUUUCUGGUUCAGUUCCAUAUGAAUGAUCAUGACUUACUCCAUCUUCAAUUGAUGGAAAUGCUUUUUCAGAGAAAGGACUAAUGUGUGGUUUCAGAUUCCCUUUUCCUAUGAUCUCCUUACUGCCAUUGUUACAAGAAUAUGAAGUAGAAGCACGACGAUCUUCUUUUACCAUUGAGUGUUUAAAAGCAUUCGCAUUGUUUUGAACAGGUUUUGCUCGGAAAUCCUCCGAAUUGUCUGGAAUAUCCCAUGGAUCCGCAGAUCUCACGGAGUUGUUCUCAACGAAAGAAGGUAAUUCACCCUCGACUAGAUGCAUUACAGUGCCAACCGGUACUUGUACAACCUGCGACAUUUAAGUACUUUGCUAUCAUUAAUUUGCAAAUAAAAAAAAUGCAAAAAGGAGAUGUUACAAAAAUGUCAGAGGAUCAUCGUAUUGUUUAGGAACAUUAACCUUGUCAGAUCCUCGAGUACCUAUCUGAUUUUUCGAAACUCCAUGCCCUCCACGUUUCGCAUUCUGACAAAGAAUAACUAGUGUUCAUACAUUUGAAGAUAAACAGAUAUCUAUGAUUACAUUACAUAUAGUUAAACAAUUCUAUAGCACCCCAAAAAAGAAAUGAAUUACAAAUUUCCAGAACCAACCAAAUGGUGUUGCAGGUUACUGAAAUCCCAAACAGCCGCCGAGCAUUCGAGAAUAACAUCACCUCCUCUACCGCCAUUUCCACCUACACUAGCCCAAAAAAGAACACAUGUUCAAAAAAGUAACCAUUUCCCCUAAACCCGUUAAGUAGAACCCUUCAAUACUACAAAGCUAUUCAUUGAGGAAAUAACACAAACAGGUGGUGGCACCAACAAAACUGGAGCUAACCAAAGCGAAGAAACCAUAAAACGCACCAUCAGGUUUCCCAUGGCGAUCGGAUCUGCUGCGGCGGAGGCUGCAGCAACCGUUUCCGCCCUCCCCGCCCUUCGCCCAUAGCCUGAACCUAUCCACCAUUCUCCUCUCCUACAUCAAAUUACACACAUAGCCCAAUUCAAAUUCGAAGCCUAAGAUGAUUCUGAAGAUAAUCGAACACACAGAACGCAUCAACAGCCACAAAGGAGGUUCUUUUACCUGUAAAGGCGCUGCCUUUCCCUUUUUGGAGGGUGCGUUGGAGUAGGAAAAGGAGGAAACGAACCACGAAGGGUUAGGGCAAGGGGGGAGAGGUGGUAUUCGCCCAUGGCGAAGUACUACGCAACGCAGCCACAUCCCUCGCUCUGCUACGAUCACACACGGAGAAGAGGCUCCUCUUCCAGAUGUUCAUCGUUGUGGGCCAAGCCCAGUAAGGGCCCAGCAAUUGUUAAUGGUCCGGGUAUGCUUGAACUCUUGGUCUGGGCCUAAAUUGAUCAGUUGCAAUCACAAAGAUGGUGUUUUUUUAAAUUAAAAAAAAAUUACGUACAGUUGAUAGUUUAUAUUUAUAUAUUACUAACUCAUCAAAUGAAAUGGCACAAACAUAAUUCGGUUUUUCGAAGCAACACACACAAUUUUUGUUUUUAUUUUGGUUAUCAUAGUUUAUUUUUGAAGUUACUUUCAUGUAAUUCAUUAUCCUUUCUACUAACCAUACAAGUAUGUUACUAUUCAUCAUUACACAUGUAAAUAACAAGAAGGGAAUGAUAAAGUUACAGAGGAAAGAACAAAAAAUACUACAUGUUUAUAUACAACACUUGGCAAGUGAUAUGUCAUCUAAAUCAAAAACAACAUUGUCUAUAAGAUCAUCUAGUAUAAGAUCCUCCAAUUCCAAACCCACAUACUCGGAAUCGAAUCGAAGGUUCAUCCACCCAUCAUUCCUCACAAAAUCUUGGGCCACAACAUUCUCCACUGCUUGAUCUAUCUGCAGCUGAGAGCUAAGAUACCGACUGAUGUUCGCCCAUACUUCCUUGAGAACCUGAUAGCCCGUCGGCAUAGGUCGAAUACGGGAACAGAAGCCAGAGAAUUGUGGAAAAGUGACAAAAGAAGAGUCGUAAAUUUCCAAUAAGAUUUCAUUUAUCAGAUCGAAUAAAAGCAUGUGAUUGAGAAGGGAGUCGUCAUCGUCGACAUAGUUAUCAUGUUCUCGAGGUGAGUUCUCGGCUUCUUCAAAGUGUAGAGGGUCGACUGGCUGGUCGGGGGAGUACCAAUCUCCGAGAAUCUCACUAGUGCUGAACCCGGAUAUUUUCAAUAUACUUUUCACGUACUGAAAGUCGGCCUCGUCCUUCUCGUUGACUUGAAUGUGUACAGUAUUAAUAUUGUCUAGUUCCUCCGAAAUAUCUUCUUUAUUGAAGUCUUCUUCUAUUAACUCACUGUAUCCAUCAUUCACUUCUCUCGGUCUAUGUGACUCGGUUAAUAACUCAAGCUUGUUGAGAUGAACUUUUGUAGAUUUCAGCUCCGGACCUGCUAAAUUCGGUUAAUGAGAAGCAAAUUACUCAAUGUAAUAGAUAAAAUUUAGAGUUUGUGAAGGCCAGCUAUAUCAUUUCACAGCAUCUUUUUUAAUAUAUUACAUGUUUGAUCUAUGUUACAGAAGAUUAUUAGAAGUGAUCAGAUCAAAAUUUGAAAUGUAAACAAUAUGAAUUUGUAUUCACUGUUUGUUCUAGAUAGUUCACCUGAAACAGAAUGCUUUGCAGAAUAAGUUCCAUCGUCCUGGAACAAUUCGCUUGUAAUAGAUAUAGCCGUCGAGUUUGCAGGGAUGUCUCUAAUAUCCAGAUGUAAUGGACCAUCAGUACUCUCUUCUAUUGUCACAUUAUCUGAAAUAUUGAUUGGUAGAUCUUUAUCUUUCUCACUAAUUAGUGCUGAAUGUUCCAUACUAUCAUUAGUCAUACCGCUAAAAGUACUCUCUGCAGCUUGUUCUACCUGACCAUCUGAAUUCAUGAUUCCAUCGGUACAUAUAAGAGUAUCAAACGACUCGAACUGUGUAGAAAUACAUUGGUCGGAUGCUACAUUGUUAUUGGAUACUUCAUUUUGGACAUCUCUACUAACGAAGUACGACUCAACAUCAGGAAGAGAAAAAAUUCUUUUCAAGGCUUUUGGGGAUUUGUUUUCCAUGAACUUUGGUCUUUCAGAAUGCCUUUUGGAAUCCCUGCUUGAAAUAGACUCGAAUAGAUUGGAGUACCUAUCUAAUGAUUCAUUAAGAGAAGAAGAUCUUCUUAUACGUUUUGGUAUAUUUUUACUGUUUGGUGAAGGAAACCCUUCUCUCCCAUAUUUAUAUCUCAAAGUUGUGUCCUUAUUUGGCAAAUCCGUCACCUUUUGUCCAUAUGGGAUUUUAUGAAGAAUGCCAUCCAUAGAAGUUCGAAUAAGCCCCUCCUUAUUCUCCUUGAUUACAUCUUUUAUUUUCCUUUUAAUUGAUCUAAAAUGAUUUGAAACAGUUCGACCUUCCCUUGAGCCUUUUGAUUCAUACAGAGGAUCAGUUAUUUUGGUAUUGCUAGUUCCUGUACUAUCUGUUGCAAGAAUAUCAUCAUUCUCCUUGUCUUGGUCAUUGUGGGGCUCAAGGCUGUGGCUUGCAUUACUUUUUCCCAACAAUUCUUCUGUGUGAGACGUUUCAAAUUUGGUUGAUGCUAUCUCUUCGGUUGGCAGUAGCGAAGAUGGAUUCUGGAGGAUUUUAAGAAACAAAUCCCUAUUUGCAUUGAAUAGCUGAAGCAAAUCCAAGAACUCUUUUGAAUGAUGAAGAGAAGCAGUGUUUCCUAUUUCUUUAAUUACUCCCUCCUCCUGAAUCGAUGAACUUUUCCCAAAAUCAUCAAGCUGGUCGUGAUCCAUUCUUUCAAUUGUGUUAGUGCUCCCACACAUUUCAGAUAGUUUUUCAAGAGAAGGCAUAUUAGGGGCUUCAAGCAAACAUGAUUGGCUGCUGGUAGAAGCUGUUCCAUGUGAACUGAGCUCGGUUGUUGAGGUCUCAUAGUUAGAACUUGAUUCUACAGGAAUGACAUAAUUGUUGCAUUUUAAGUGAUGAAUAGAAGUUGUGCGCAGUAGACGGGACGGAGCUCGAGAGAUCUUUCCUUUCGGGUCCUUGUCCCUAAAUUUUCUUUUUGAUACAAGAGUUCUCAAUAAAGCCAUGCGAUGACUUCUGCUUGUAGCAUUAACUCCAUUUUCCAUCUGGAAAUAAACAAUAAUAAUCACUUAUAACAAACAAGUAUAAAAAUUAAGUGCAAAGAAUUACAUUCCCCCCAGCCUUAAAAAAAGCGCAAAGAAAAUCAUACUUUCAACCAUUUAAUGGAUAAUUGGGUUAACUACCAGCAUAGGUUUGAAAGUUAUAUUUGGUACAAUUUUAUUAGAAAAGAAUAGAAAAUUUGUUUAAACUAAAUUUUAUUAAACAGUUAUUAUAAGAAGGUUGUUUGAACUCACCUGGGAUUUUCCAUCUCCUUCUGGACAGCAAUGUUCCUCACUUGUCGAAGGUUCGGUUCUUCUCAUCCUUGGGAGUUUUAUCCCUACAAUAAGAAAUAUUUUAACAGUCCGAAGAGCAAGUCUAUGAUGAAUCAAAAUAACAACUUUUCCACCCGAAGCACAACAAACGGCUCGAUAACAGAAGCAAAAGCUCCAAAUUAUUACUCUCACUUGCCACCAUUGCAGAGCUCUAAUUUAGAUAUUCUAUAUUUGGGGCUCAAAUGCUUGUUUCAGCUUCUCAUCACGCAAAUGAGCAAAACAUCCGAAAUUUUCUAUCUCGUAGAUGUUCUGCUGGAGAUUGCUGCAGCUGAGAGCGGAAGCAAAAGCUAUGCCGAGUGGGCACUUGCUCCUUUGUUUCGUACAUACUUAAAAAAUAAAGCAUCAUUUUAUUAAAUUCUUAUCUUUGAGCAUUAAGCAAUGAUAACUGGUGAUCGAUUAACAGGUGCUACCGCCACUUUUACUAUUUCACAAGAUGGAAAGAUCACAAAACCAGCUAUAAGAAGAUUAAUUCUCACUUCCGGUUCGACUCCCAUCGCCGUGCCUUCUGUAAGCUAGCGUCUUCCUUAUUCGAAGACGGUUGUGCAGGUCAAGGAAGUGUAGCAGGCUCUCCAUGCACCCCGGGUGGCGUUUCUCGAACGGUAGUUCCGACCUCCCUUGUUGCAAAUUCUCCGCCAUUUAUAAUACCAAGUCUAGAAAACAUGCAACCUCUGUUUUACUCUACCGCAAUAACAGUAAAAUAAAAUAAAAUAACAAAUCAGCAACCCAUGAAAUUCCAACAGCAGGAAUUCAAUGAACAAUACAAUCAACAUUACAUUAAAAAUAGAUAAAAAUUAUAGGCAUUUUGACAAACAGAUGGUGAGCAAUAACCCUUCUCCCAAAAGCAUGGUUAAACAAAAAGUGACUUUUUUAUAUCUGAGAAGGCUGAAAAUAGCAAUUUUUGGUGCCAAAACGAUAAAUUUGAUCAAAUAAUACUGAAAUUAAAGUUAACUAAAUUACAAAGCAUCAUAAAAUUGUGAUAAAAAGGGCUUAUACCGAAGCACGGAGAUGAUUCUGGGCAUGCAAAAGGAGGAGCUUUUUCUCGUCCAAAAAAAAUAUAAAUAUGAAAAACUAAAGGAGAAGAGAUUAGGGUUUGAAUCGGAAAUAGUAUGAGGUAGAGGAAGGAUUAAUCCCUCGUUUCGAUGGGAUUUGUCGAGAGGAUUCCGCUCAUCCGCUCCCUCCCUCUCCAUUUCCCCUCUUUUUUCAAUUCCUUUUUUUUUUUCUUUUUUCGGGUAUUUAUUUUCAGUUUUAUUUGAUCUUUACAUCCCUCUUUUCCCGCUAACAGCGUCCACGUCACGUGGCCCACCACGUCAUUCAUAAACCUCUCAAUUUAAAAUCUGAAAUUAAGUUAAAAAUGGUCGUUGGUCUACGGAUGACGUGGUGAACAUUGUCCACAUAAAAAUUCAAAGCUUCCGGCCCACAAGAUUUUCUUCUUGGGCAGGGCCAUCAUAGUCACGGGCUCAGAUCGAAUAAACCCAAUAUUGGGCUUGGCCCAUUACCAUUAUCACAGUUCGACGAGCUAGGCUCCGUUUACGAUUGCGGAAAAAUGCGUUACAUACAAUGAUAAUGUACGAUUGAAAAAUAUACUGUUUAUUUAUAUAUGUAAUAUUGAAUUCUAUAUAUCACAAGGAGUUUGCUACGAAAUAAUUUUUCUGAUUCCACAGAACAAAGAAGAAGCAUAUUCUAUAUACUUUCGCCCCAACUCCGUUUUGCUUACUGGCUUUAAAUGGGCCUUAAUACUAAACCCGCGGUAAGUAUCUUUUUAAAUUUGUAAGAUCAUCUACCUAAUGGCCCUUUACAAAGCACAUCAUUGGGACUUUGCUCUUUUUUUUUUUAACUAAAUAAAAAGAAACUCACUUAUGCCACUUAAGAUACAAAUAAUCUUAAAUCGAGGGAAGGACAAGAAGUAUGUAUAUUAGUCCUGCAUGAUUCCAAUGGUCCCAAUAAUAAUAAAUAUAAAGUUUAGGUUAGCAGUACUACAAGAACACUUGGCCUAUGAUUAUGUCAUAACAAAAUCCAAAGGAAAGACCCACAAAUACCUUUGAGUAAUCCAACAAGUUCUCCAAGAAGAUGAUAUCAAAUGCGACAUUUGGCAGCUCAACCUCGCCGGGACAAGUUUCCUGGCUGAAGGCUUAGAGGCGCGUUGGAUUAGAGUGAGGCGAAUGGUCCCAAAGGAUUAUCUACAGCUCUUUGACAUCGGUUAUGCUGCAUUUUGCUGGGAAAUUUGGAAAGAGCGAAACAGGAGAAUCUUUGAAAACCGGCAUGUUAGCUUCGAGAUACUAGGGAGAAUCAUCCAUCAGACUGUCUUAUUUUGGAAGGGGGUAUUAGGAAGAUUCAAGCCUUAACUCUCGAUCUCAUUCUCGGUUUGGUUUCUCGUUGUUUUGGGUGUGUACUCUAUAGGUCCUAGGACUGUAUUAGCUUUUGUAAAAUAGGGUUAACCCCUGUUUAAUCAAAAAAAAAAAAUGCGACAUUUGAAGUAGACAUCUAGUUUGGAAAGUUGAAGUGUAAAAAUAACCAGAAUGCAACAGAUUAGUUAGUAGCUUAGCAUUUCAGAAUUAAAUUAGGAAUGAAACUUGUGCUAAACAUCGCGUCUAAACGACAAAUUAAACACUAAUAAAUCAUAAAGUGUAUGCUUAAACUGACUUAGAAACUGUUACAUCUUUUUCUCCAAUCCCAAGGAGGUGAUAUUUGGAGAGAGAUGUGUCCAUGAUGAUGCUUAAUUUGUAAUGGAAGCAUACUCAUAGCUAGUCAUGGAAUAGAAAAGGCCAUGAGUUGCAAUGAUAUAAACCACCAAGGUGGUGGCGAAGUGGAUGUGUGAGGAGUGGAGGAGUAGUACUUAAUUUGAUCUUUUCUCUCUGUUGUUGUGCCUUCUAAAGAUACAACCAACUCUUAUCUAAAUAAGAAUAAAAGCCAUGCAACUCCUUAGACAAUGUUCCCCCACCAUUGGGAGGAUCUAUUUAAGGACAUUGUCCUCCUUUUCUUUUUGCUUUUUAAUUUCCGAACAGAAUGACUUCGGGCCCGUUUGGUAUUGAUCAGUAGUAUAUUGUAAUUGACUCAUUGAAAUAUGUAAAAUCUCAUAUUAGGCACAGAAACAUACAAACUAUUUUUUUUAUAAUGUUUAUUUUAGCAUAUAUAACACAAUCUUAAUUUUCGCGAUCUCACACAGAGAUUUCACGAUCUGCACAACAAGGGGUGAAGGAUCCUUUGGUGUCUGACCCGGCGGGAAAUAUGUGCACCUUGUACCAUAUGAUUUAUGGGGUACAUCACAUAUAGUAGUGUGUUUUAUGUGACCUUAUUUAUAAGAAAAAGAAAAUAAAUAUGUACGUACUCUCAUCGUAUAGCCUUAUUAUGAGGAUGGAUGUUCUUUUUUAUCAUCCAAAUUAUCCAAUCACAAUCAAUUUAUACAAAUUUUAUUUUUUGAGUUUGUCAAAAGCAAAUAAAUGACCUAUACUGGAAAAUUCAUAAAUGUUAGAAACUAAUUGAUUUUGGUACUAUUUGAUGCUUAAUUAGCAAAUGAAUUCCACAUGCUUAUGAUUUUUUUGGUACAUAGACCUUUCCAAUAUUGUAAAACUCAUAUAAUUGUUUAAAUUUUAGAUCUUAAAAUCUCUAGUAGUUGGAUUUUACACUUGUAUAACAUGUGUGUGUGAAGUAAAAUUGUGUCAACAUUAACUCCUACUUGAGAUUGCUAAUGCAGAUUAAUUAUUUACUGAUCCUGUUAAAUGAUCUCUCAGCAUAUGAACACGACUCGCAAACUAGCUAGGCCUAGAUCGUGUCGGGCUACCUUACAAAGGGUGGCAAUCUUGAUCCGAAUCCGAUAGUUCAAUCUCAUCACCGAACUAGGUUUUGGUCAAUUCUGUGAACCUAAUGAAUUUCCAUGGUCGAAUUGGGUCAGAUUGACGGGUUGAUGGGUACCCAUUAUUGUAUGUUUGGUAAACCCAACGGGUCGGGUUGGUUCGGGUCAUGAUCGGUUAUUUUCUCACCCGAAACAGGUUAGGUUCAAGUUCGUACUUAUUGUUACGUUACGUACGUUAGAAUCCUCUCAAACAAAUCCAAAGCCAUAUAUAAAGAACACAAUAAAAACCACCAUAUAUACAAUAUACAGUAUAUAUAGAUGAGAGAGAUCUACUUAGAAGUAUCCUUAUUCCUCAUCUCUCAUCUCUUGUUUACUUGUCACCAACAUCCCUUUGUUGACAAUUCUAUUAUUCUUUCCCGGAUUACUAUUCCAUGAAUAUAUAGAUAAAGCUUAGAAUCCUAAUUUGAUCAUGGAUAAGAAGAAUAGCAACCAAGGAAUGCAAACCCAAGAGAGAGAAAGGAGAGAAAGAAGCCCCUCCCCAUUUCCUACCUCUUCUUCUUCCUCAUCUUCAUCUACUUAUUCUUGUUCCAAAGAGAAAUUAGGAGGAGGAGAAGAAGAGGCAAAGAAGGAUAAAGAUGACCAACAUGGUGAUUAUGAUGGUGAUAACAAGGAAGAGAUGGGAACUUCUUGUUCUACGUCGAGUACGAAGGAAGAAGUAAAGAAGGAUAAAGAUGAACGACAAGAUGUCGGCGAUAGCAUGCAAGAAAGAAGCCCUCCCUCCUCUUCUUAUUCUUGUUCUAUGAAGGAGGAUGCUGUCGCAGUCGCUUCGAGAGGGAAAGAGGAAGAGAAUGAGGGUGAGAAAGAAGAGGAUGCAGCAAAGAAGGAUAAAGAUGGCCAACAUGUUGUUGUUGUUGUUGUUGAUGAUGAUGAUGAAGGGUACCACACGCCAACAUCGCCGAGGCACCGAAUUCAGACGCGUCCCGAUAUCCCGCCUCCAGCACCGAAGAGGAGUAGAGUUUUGGUCCUGGAGAAGGAGGAUACUGGUCGUUCUCGACGUUGCCGUCCUAUAAAGUUAGAAUUUUAGCUCCCUAUAGCUCCUUCGAAAGAAAUUCGAUGGCCGACGAUGCACAAGGCUCGACAGGUAGCUGCUGAAGCCAAAUGAUGAGUCCCUUCAAGCACUGUCAUGAUAUAGAAAUAUUUAUAUAGAAAUUAUAAGCAGUAUAUGGAUUGUUUCUUUGGUUGGAUUUGGUGUGUUUUUUGUGUGCUUGUGGAGUCGUAUUAUCAUCUCCACAUUAGUUCACAGGAGAGGAUUCUUUUUUUCUUUUUUUCUUGGUUUUUGUUUUUUUUUUUUCUUUUUUUGAAUUUGUUUGUGAGUUUGGAUUUGAGAUUGUGAGGAAGGGUGCCUAUGACCCUACAUUAAUAUUUACAGUCAAAAGGUGAAAGCUUCUAUGUUCAUAGAAGGCAAAAAGAGAGUGGUAAGGCACUCUUUUCUCUACUGUUGAGUGCAUAGGAUUCUUUCUUGUGAUGAUGAUGAUGAUGUUGUAUUUCUUGUACAAGCUCAUAUCUUUGUUUUACACCUCUUUUGCAAUUUGUUCCUCUUCUAGUAUAUGAACUGAGACUCCAAACACCUGAAGGACCACUUCAUUUUCAGAACCUAGAAUAUAUAUAUAUAUAUAUAUAUAUAUAUAUAGGAAAUAGGAAAUUCUUUAGAACAUAGCUUCAUGUUCACAAAAGCAGCAGUUAACAUCAUAGCCUUUUUGAAUAGGUUAGUUACUGCUUUGGAUCUUUUCUUUUCUUUUUUUUUUAAUUGUCAGAUAAACACUUUUUUGAUCUUUAGGUAUAUACAGACAAUUAAUGCCUUUGAUACUCCUUAAGUAGGACCCAAAGGAGGAGAAAAUGAAACACAUCUAAAAAAGAAAAGAAAGAAAUUGGUAGGGAAUAUUGCUCUUUUGCUUUAUGAAUGUACUGAAUUCAUGUCUCUCUGUUCACUUUUAAUAAUAGUGUUUGGGAUGUGAGAAUCACUUCUUUUACUAUAUAAAAUCUAUGCUGACCCUUAACAAAAGGGAAUGAGGUAUAAAUUUCAUUUUCCUAAGUUUGCUGAAUAUGAUGGUUAUAGUACAGAAGCAGAUCAUUUCCUUUUUUUAGGAUACAUAGAAUAUAAUUUUAGUUAAUACAUCUUGGUGACUUCAGGAUUUUUUUUUUUUUUUUUUUUUUUUUUCAGUUGCAAAUCUCACAUACCAAUAAAAUUUACAGAAUGGAACCAAGAAAGAUGAGACCCUCCAAAACUGUCUAUGUUGUCUCUUUUCCAGAGUUAAGAUUGUAGACACAACAUACAUCGCAAAUGAAAAAAAGGGAAAAAAAAAUAAAGAAAUUUAAACUCCUGAUGCCAGGUCACACAGAUCAGAAAAGCAAAAUGUAAUUAAGAAACUUUACCAUUCUCAAACACAACAGCUAGUAUGAUAAGAGAAGACAAAGGACCAACCAACCUCCUGUUUGUGCAGCUUGAAUCAUGAGAACAUGAAAUGAGUCCUCCAUUCACUUUCAUCUUGAAGUUCAGUCACAUCACAUAUGAAUAAUUAAGAGCACUUAUGACUUAAUAAGGUGUAUCGAAAUGCAUACACAGACAUUACAUACACACAUCGAGUUGGCGCAUUAGAAUAGAUGCUUUCAUUUUUUGGCGCAUCAGAUAUGUAUGCAGGUAUGGACACAGUUUGGAAAUUAUGUACAUGCGAAAAAAGCAAACUGACUGUUUAUUGGUUCCUACAUCUUCCAAAUCUUACAAUGUCUACUUUAGAAAAAAAACAAACGAAAAGAAAAGAAAAGAAAAAACUCUUACAAUGCCGAACUCUACACAAACUAUACAAGUCUAACAUAUAUACAUCAGUCAGGUGUACCACAAUAAUAUCAAUAGCCAUCUGAUGAACCCCAAGUUCUCAAAGCUUGUCCGUGACACUGCAACCACUAUCAUCAACCUUCAACUUACCACGCCCGUUGAUCCUCCCAAAUAAGCUUAUGGCCGAAGACAAGCCUUUCAAGCUGCUACUCCCUUCAUUUAAUUUCCGAGUCCUCUUCGAUAUCCUUGCCCUUAAGUUCUUGUCUCCCUCCGCAUUAUUUUUAACAUUGGCCACCACCAACUGGGUUGUAAGGAUCCGGCAGAAGGGGCAGGAUGGUGCGGAUAAGUGUGAUGUCACGGGAUUGGGCUUGCUGUGGCAGCAAAGGGAGAGCAUGCAGUAAGUGCACAUUUGGUGACCAGUCUCGGACUUCAAUGGUGCAUGCUUGGUCAAAGCAGAUGCAACAGAGCUCCGCAUCACUCGUCUACAAGAGAGAGAUUGAAUCUAACGGUUACUCCGCUUCAGGAAAAUAUCUAGCUGGGGAAACUUUCUUAUCCCUGGGUUAUCCUGCAAUCCCAAUUCCCGAGAAAAACAUAUAUAAGGUUAAUUUUCUGUCAGCAAAUUAACAUACGUACACUUCCAAGUACAUAAUCUAGUUCAUCGAUGCCCUUCAAAAUUUGGAAAUAUCACAAAUGACCCUUGUGUGUGUGUGCGUAUUUGAUUUUUAUAUAUGCUCUCCAGGAACCACAUUUUUUAUUAUUUAUGUAUAUUUACAUAGAGAAUAUGAGGGAUAAUUUGAGUUAUGACCAUACUGUCCUCAAAAUAAAUGAGGCCUAACUGAUCUUCUGAUAUGGCUUGUGCUCUACAAUCAAGCCAGUAUGUCUCCGAAAUCCGAUCCUGUUCGAAGUGAAGCACACGAGAAAUUACAAAAACAACGGAGAGAACAAAGGCAAUUUGUGACUAAUAUUCCAAUUAGCCGAACCAUACGUAAAGAAUGGAAUACCUCAGAGUCGUCGUCAGCGCGAACAUCAAUUCCAGCAUCUGAAUGGACAGGUGAUGGCAAGGAAUAUGCUGGUCCCUUUCAAAAUGUUCCUCUCUCUUUUCCGGUUGGCAUCAAUGCAGUUCAAAAGAUAAUCAGCAGCACCGAAAUGCUUACCCAGAUGAAUCCUUUUGUUUCUGAUUCGCUCCCCACGCGAGGAGAUUCCUAACACAAUCUAGACACCCUUUUCUAGCUGCCAGGUGAAGAGAUGUACUUCCAGGGUAAUAGUAAUUUGUUAUUUUGGUCAAUCUAAUGGAAAAAAUCACCUAAGGACUGAAAAAGAAGAAGAAGAAAGAAAUCGAGUACUGCUCUGGGUUUACCUAUAACUAUCUGUCAUAGCACAUACAAGAGCCCCAUUGUCCAAUAGCAUACGAAUGCAAUCCGGUCGCCCUAGUCGCACAGCGAGGUGUAAUGGCGUAGCCCCACUACCAUCUCCAACAUUCAUGAAACGGGUGAAUCCCCUAUAAUUCGACAAAAAUAAUCAAAUAAAACAUGUAAGCUAAAUCUAUCAAAAUGGAAGAUCUUAAAAAUCACGCAAAAUAUACCCACCAAGAAUCGGCAACCGAGCUCAAUCGCGCGGCUAUAAGAAUCGCUUGCAAGCAAUCCGAAUGGCCAUAAUAUGCAGCAUAAUGCAAGCAAGUUCUCGCAUGUCAUGAAUCAAACAACAAAAUCUAGUCCGAUUAAGGAAACAAACUUGGUAAUUAGUUUGGGAACACGCAAUAUAUAGAUUACAAACAAGAAUAGUGAAAAACAGAAGUGAACAAGUAAACAUCAUACAUUUGCGCCGGCUUGAAGGAGUGCACGCAUCCAUUACAGAUAACAUCAGCGGGCUCUUAGACCAACAUAAUUCCAAUACUAAAUUUAUCAACAAAGCUAAAUAAGAGUCUAAAAAUCAUAAAAACGAUACUUUUAUGCAAUCAACCUACUUGCUUACGCCGGUUGAGUGAAUCAGGGUGGACAGACAUAUCCAGAAACAUUGACAGAACCUGAAACCAGCCCAAACCAGAAAACCCGAAUCCCCAAACUGAGUCAGUUGCGCUGUUGCAUAAAAGAUCAGUUUUUUAUAACAAACAGACCCCUGUUCUGAGUAAUGAUGCUAUUAGCAGAAAUGCUACAAUACAACUACCUUAGCAGAUUAUUUCUGCACUGGAAUCGAAAACGCUGAAAUUAAAGAUUCUACUUUUAAAGCUCGGAAUCUCAUUGCUGAUUGUCAGUACAGCAGAAGCUUCUCUUCACCGAAUGCUCUACUAGAGUCUGCUGGUGUAGACAGGAAAAGUACCAAAACAAGUUAAAAAUUAAAAUUUAACCCAUUAAAUAGUGAGUGUUCUUAUGACCUGUUCUGAUACUAUGUUACUUAAAAAAGUGAUCUUUACAGUAAACGGUUCAGAAUUAGUCUAAACACGAAAAGAAACCGAAGGAGCUUAACAACCUCGAGGCGCCCAUCGGAGGCGGCGAUGUGGAGGGGGGAUUGGCGAUUGAAGAAGGUGGUGCUGUGGAUAGCGGAGGGUGCUCUCCGCAGAGAACACGCCGCCGCGUCCGAGUCCCCGGCGCGAACGGCUCGGAAGAGCUCGCGCUCCGAGCCGCCGCGGCUCCAUGUUAGCGCGCUCCUGCGCACGGCGCGCUGCGGCGCACGUUAGCCCCUGUCGAGCUCCGGUGGGGCCGCGGCGGAGGAGAGAGAGAGAGAGAGAGAGAGAGAGAGAGAGAGAGAGAGAGAGGUGCGGAGACGAGCUCACAAAGGAAGGUUAGCAGUUUUUUAAGGUAAAUGUUAAAGAGGAGGGAUGCAAAUGGAUCAGGGUUCGAUUCCGAUCCGUUUUAAAUAAAGUUGUGAGUAUAAGUCAAAAAAAUUUUUUAAAAAUUUACGCCUAUAUCGACUAGACCAGAACAAAAUAACUAAAAAAAUAAAAAAAUAUAAUAAAAAUUAAUUUGUCACGAAUCUAGAACCCUCCAGUCUCGGAACCCGCAUUGUUUGCAUUUGUAAAGAGUAGUUUUCACUCUCCAGUUUGUGGUAAUGGAUCGGGUUACCACUUCGAACAGAAUUAUACAAACUUCGUUACCAGAGAAUUGGAUUUGGCUAAAUUCCACUGCACUGUAUUAUCAUAUAUUUUAGUUGUUUUCUCACCUCUCAUAUAUAAUGUAUUAUUUUUUUCACGAAUAUUACUGCAUUUCACACCAGACGCUAAUAAACAGAAACCACGCGAACUGUAGUACUCUAACGACGUAGUGCAGCUAUUUAGAGGACCAAAGCCAAGCAGAAGCAGCAAAAUCUAUAAUUGGGCACUGGGGUCUACUAUUAACAGUUGGUAACAUGGCGACAUGCACCGUGCUUUUGCGACACAAGGGCCCGUAUAUUAUGAGGGGGCUCGCGAGAAUCGUCCUCCUGCGGUAGCAUCUGAAGGGAUGUUAUCUUGCGGGCUCAAGAAUUAACUAAUGGAAUGCGCUGCAUCAGAAGUAGAUUGGAGUAGAAUUUGAACUGCAGCAAUCGAUUUAUUUGGAUGCAGACUCUGUGCGCGUCUAUUCGAUUAGUUGAAUUAAAUAGAGCAGCAUUCUGCUGGUAGUAGAGUCACAGUCGAAAUACGUAAGCGCUGUGUAUAUUAUACACACAACACACUUUAAAUGUAAUGGGUGCGUCACUUUGUUCAGCUCGUAGUGCUUUCGAUCCAUACUAAUUGAUAUUUUAUGGACUGUAGCUGGGCCUUAGAUGCUGCCCAUUAUUGCAUGCAGUCCGAUGUUCGACACCUGGACUUUAAUAUUCGUGAAGAUGACGCCCAGGUCCAUUUUUGAUUUUGGAAAGGCCCUCGUAGAACUAUAAAUGGGCCUUAAAAGUCCAAUGAGCCCAUAGCCUCGAGGAUCCGUUCGGCCUACUAUUGCAUGUAGUCCGAUUCCUGACACCUGGACUUUAAUUGUCGUGCCCCUGGAUGCAUCGGCAGCGUCGUCUAACGCAGUAUUUAGGGUUUUACUCCGCUCAUUACGGCUCUGGUCGACGUCGGCGUCUAGGGUUCCCUCCGGCUCCUCCAAGGUAAGAAGCGUCUCUCUUCGAUCCUCUUCCUCCUCCUCUUCUCCCACCGUCCCCAAAAUCGUAACUUGAAUCCUUAAUGCUACUCGUUGUUUGAUAUUUGGAAGUGAUUUAGUUGGUGAUUUCGGUUCAUUUUUGAAGUGAUUCAGUAGGCGCUUCUUCGGUUUCGAAGCAAAUUUUUUUUUUGUUGAUUUAUUGAUGAUGAUGAUGAUGAUUAUGAUGUUGAUGGACUUUGGAUUUGUUCAAUUUUCAUGAAUCUCAUCUAAUAUCUAUUGUUUGUGAACUAGAGUGCUAUUGCGAUGGCUCCUUCGCAGCCGAACAGUGGUCUCUUCGUUGGACUCAACAAAGGGCACAUUGUCACCAAGAGGGAGAUCCCUCCUCGCCCUUCGAGUAGAAAAGGGGUAUGAUCUGAAUCCACUUAUGGAAAUCGAUCACUUUUCUGUAUUAUUAUGUAGAAAAGUUGAAUACUUCAUGCUUACUUGAUUUGUUCUUUUGUUUAGCCAACAUUUCUCUCGAUUUUAUAGUUCAGUAUAAGGUUCAUUGUGUUGCUACAAUGACACAUUUAUUGUCUCUAUAUUGUGCUUGUGUUUUCUGAGAAUCAAUACGACAGGGGAAAUGUAGACUCUGAAUAACUGCGAAAAAAAAAAUUUGGUGUCACAAGUUCGUAUGGUAGUGUUUUUUGACAAGUUCAUAUGGUGUCAUAUUUGGUAAAAGGUAUACUUAGAUAUCUAAAUGUUUUACUCAGGUGUCAUCAGAUAUAUAAUUCAUUCCGUAUUUAUUCAAUCAUUAGAAGUUGCAUAUUAUUUUAAUGGGAUAGUGGUCGCCAAUAUGACACCCUCUCUUUCUUUCUCUCGAUGACAUCACGGAUAUCUUGCAUAAAGCUGCAAGAACUUUGAUUCAGUAGAAGCUAGUUCUGUUUCUAAUGGAAUGAGCUUAUUUGGUAGUCAAGGAUAUGUUUGUUGUGAACAUUUCUUGCAGAGUUCAUCAGAUGUUUGAUGGGAAUUGUUACUUUGUGAAUUAUUUCUGAAGCUAUAAUCUAAUUUUUUUAGGGACUUGCACUGUAGUUUUACCACCUUUAAAACUCAAGUUAUACAUUUCCAUGGUUAAUUAGUUACCUCACUUUAUGUGCUCUUUAGACUUUACAUUUUAAAGUAUUAUGUACAUUGUGGAAGAGAACAUGUAACUUAUCUUGUCAUAACCUGGUUACUAGUGUACUGUUCAUGUCCUUUGCUUGGUUGGUCUAAACUUGAAGUGUAAUAAGCGGUGAGAUGUUAUAUUUCAGAAAACUAGCAAGAGAGUGCACUUUGUCAGGAGCUUGAUCAGAGAAGUAGCUGGGUUUGCUCCCUAUGAGAAGCGGAUUACUGAGCUUCUGAAAGUUGGAAAGGACAAGCGUGCAUUAAAGGUGGCAAAAAGAAAGCUCGGCACUCAUAAGAGAGCAAAGAAGAAGCGUGAGGAGAUGGCUAAUGUUCUUAGGAAGAUGAGGUGUGUUUUAUUUAUUUAUGUUUGCUUUCUCAUUUUGGUUCCUGCAACAUAUAUGGUGUGGCUAUUUCUUACUUAUAGCAAUUUGAUGGCCUCUGAUGACUGAUGAGGCACAUAUACUACUACUUACAAGAUUAUACCUGGUUGACUAAUCGAUUAUUGAGUUUAAAAUGAUGAGUCAAUGUUCAACUAAGGAAGUUCUAUACGUUGUUAUUUUUACUUGAACUUGGUGACUAAAUUUUGCUCGUGGUUAGAACAUAAGAUAUAUAUAUAUAUAUAUAUAGUAAUAAUCAUUUGACUGUGACUGACUAGUGGAGGUUUGCUGAUGGGUCUAACAAAAGCGUUUUUCAUUUCGACAGGUCUGGUGGGGUGUCUGAGAAGAAGAAAUGAAACCAAGCAGUCACAUGCUUUUCUUCUCGGCAGGAGGAAGCUUAGAUUACACAAUUCUGAUUAAUCUUUGAGACAUUUAUGAUGUUGCUUUCCAAGGAGAGACUUUUUAACCGAGAUUCUACCUUCUUUCAUUCUUGCUCAUCGCAGCAAACUUGGGUUUUUGAUGUUAUUUCGCGACUUCCACUUUUUUCAGUGUUGUUCUGCAUUAUGUGAUGCGCAAAGAGUUGUGAAAAAUAUUGAGAAAGUUGUUCUUCCUUGCUGGCAUCUUCAACAACAGCAGUAAUGUGAUUCUUUUACUUAUUAUUCCGCAUUUGCGCUGUGCUCUUUAACCACCAAUUGUGAACAAGAAUAAAUAAAAUUUCGAGACAUUUAAGUCCCAACUACAGAAGAAGACUCAAAGAGGGGAAUGAACAUUUUGGCAACUGCUCGGUGAAGUAAAACUUCAUGGAAAAAGAGGAAAGUGGUGUAGAUCUUGACAGGGAAAGGAAGAACGUUUUCGGAUGAUCUAAAAUCUACUUAAAAGCAUGAGAAGCUGAGACGAAUAAAUUGAUUUGGUGUUGUUUGAGGAUCUUGUUGGAGCUAAUGAAGGACCAAAUAUGUGUGAUGGGGCCUAGCAAGCAAAGACAGAUUAACUAACACAUUGACUAAAUCCACUACUCUAUUUAGCAUUCAUUUUAACCACAUUUACAGAGUCAACAUCUUAGCAUCAUUAUCAUGACAAGCUUACUCCAUUAUUACGCGUUAAACUAAGAUCUAUGCUUUGAGCUUUCCACGUUUGACGAGUUCAAAUCAUAAAUGUUAUAGCAAAGACCAAUAUUGAUACCUAACCGAAUAUUUUUCAUGUUUAUUUAACAAAUUUAACAAAAAAAUUAUAAAUACUAAGUUGGUCGGCAACUCCUUUUCAGGAGAUUAGCUAAUAUAUUAAUUUAUCACAUGUCAUAUCAAACCUGUUUCUUGCAUUAAUUGCAUAUCGUAUUUGGCCAACUAGCACCAUUUUUCUUUUUCUUUUUUUGAUUUUUUUAAAGACUAGCACCAGUUAGUUUUCAACUUUUUCUCUGACAACAUAAAGAAACAUUAGAACCGUAAAAAUAAAAAUAAAAUAGAAGUUUAUUUAACUUUGAUUUGGUUUUGAAAAACUAUUGAGCUACGAGAUUACAAAGAUAGGUGCAUGAGAAAGAAAUGGAGGCGAUAUGGUCGCAAGAUGCAGCAAUAAAAGGAGUCCAGCUACUAUACUCUUAUAUGGUCGCAAGAUGCAGCAAUAAAAGGAGUCCGGCUGCUAUACUUUUAUAAGUACGAUCGUCUUUGUAUUCAUAAGUCGUUUUCGAUGAUAAAGCUUCCGAUUCAACAAUCCAUAUCGUUAAAUAUUUUUUAGAGCAUUUAAAAUUUCUAGAAAUCAAAUUUCAUUAUUUUUCGACAUCAUUUACCUUACGAUCAAAAGCUUACAAAAUUGAUAAUUUUUAACGACCGGUAGAAAAUAUUUGCUAGUUUAACAGUGCAAAAAAAUCAGAAUAGGUUAUAUUUUUGAUAGAAAAUUCUAUUCACUAUCUAGAUAAAGACCAAUAACUUCGAUCUUAAAUUGAAGAAUCUGAAUUUUUAGGACGUCGUUCGAUUUUGAUCGUUCAUUUUAUACCGGCGUGAUGGACUUUAUUAUGAUUUCGAAAAAUUACAAAAUUUAUUUUCUACAAGUUUCAAAUACUCUAGAUUAUAUUUAACUGAAUGGAUCGUUAAUUCGAAAGUCGCAUCAUCGAAAACAACUUAUGAGUACGAAUGGCCCAAUAUUCAUAAGAGAAUAGUAUUCCUACUCCAAUAAAAAUUCUAUAUCUUAAUAAAAUUACGGAAUAUUUAUUAUAAACAUUUUUUUUUAUUAUAUUCUCACCGAAAAAAAAGACCAAAAAAAGAGAGAGAGAGAGAGAGAGAGAGAGAGAGAGAGAGAAACAACUCGAACACCAAUUUUCUAAUUUUGUAAAAAAAUUUUUAAAUUUGGAGUAGAUACGUACAUCACCUCUUACUUAGUUUAGUUCGAUCCAUGGAGGGAGACGAUAGGAGACCCUUGCCCUCGUCGUCGUCGGCGGCGGCGGCGGCGGCGGCGGAGGCGGUGGUGGUGGCGCUCGACGCGGCGAGGGAGCUCAUGGGGUUCUGCGGCGAGGGGANAAAAUUUUUAAAUUUGGAGUAGAUACGUACAUCACCUCUUACUUAGUUUAGUUCGAUCCAUGGAGGGAGACGAUAGGAGACCCUUGCCCUCGUCGAUCCCCGCGGCGGCGGCCGGAACCCUAGAGCCGCUCGCGGAGGCGCUCGACGCGGCGAGGGAGCUCAUGGGGUUCUGCGGCGAGGGGAGCAAGAUCUUUUUGGUAUGGUAAAGCUCGCGUUUUGGUUGGUUUUGUUUCCAUCUUUUGUUCGAAUUUUGGGGAUUAGUUUGAUUUGAUGGUUGAACUCGCAGCUCUGGUUCACUUUGAUUUCCUUUUAUUGCCGAGAUCUCGGUUGUAUUAGGAGCAACUUUACUGAUAGUGAUCAUCUAGGUUAUCUAAUUUGUUCACUAAUUUUGUCGUGUUUUGCAUAUUUUUGCAAUUCUGAUAACUAGUGUAGUUGAAUUCGAAGUUUUGAACUAUCCAUGGUUUGUUGCACGCUAUACUGUAUUUUGUUCAGAUUUUUUUUUUUUUUGAAUUAAGUGUAUUCGUUAUGUGAAUUCUCAGAGGCUGGUAGAUUCUGGUUAAUGUCCAUUUACAGGGAUAAACUAUUGUUGUAAUUUUGUUUGUGCAUCUGUGUGCAGAGGAAAAUGAAUAUUCCGAAGUAUCAAAUUUGAGCUCUUGACUCGUUCUCUUUCCAAUAAAUUGCGGAGAUGUAGGCUUAAGAAUAGUACAGUUCUCUGUCAGGGUUUGCUUGUUUACACUUUAAGAUUAAGAUAAUCAGGGAUGUUAAGUAAUGAUUUUUCCUUAAUAUUAUUAGGAUCAAAUUCUGAAAAUUUUCUGUCGCCAACCAAGUCAAUUGUCCUUUGGUAACUGCUUGGAAGAAAAUUAUUUGUACCUGGAUUUUAUUAUGGUUGCUUUUCGCAUAAAUAUUAUCAAUUCUAUGUGAUUUGCUCUAACUGUAAGUUUGCAAAGCAAAUGAUCUCAACAUUGUGGCAAUCAAGUAGCAGUUCAUUGUACCGCCCAUACCAACUUAUUUCUUUCUAUUUAUCUCUCCCUGUUUCCACUCUUUAAUCUUUAGCAGCCUGGUAUGAUAAUGGAAAUACUUUAUUUUGCGUGUGGAACGAUAUGGCAAAAGGGAUUCAUCUGCUAGCUUUUGCACAAUCGCUUGUAAGAAUGCACCCAACGUAGUGUUCAUCCAGAAGAUAGGGAAAUGAUCUCUUUCUCUUUCCUUUUGUGUAACUCAAUAUUUGUUUCCAAUGGAGAAAACUCAUCAGUCAAAAAUCUUUAAUGGUAUUUGUUCAUAGACAUUUUUCUGAAUCCCUUCAGAUUUGUGAACCUCAUAAUAUCCUUUCAUUUGAAAAUUUUGAAGUUUCUGAAUGUUAACCUAAAUAUAAGAGAAAUAAGAAUGCCUAUAAUAUUUUCCAGCCUUGAUUCAGCUUGUUGAUGCUUUUGUGUCUAAUUCUUUUAUCAUUUCCUUGGCCUUAUUAUGUGGAAUGACUUUCAUUUCUUAUGGUUUCUUAAAGAACCUAGAAGUACUCUUAGAUCACCGAACUUGGCGUAAUGUCAUAUUCUUUAGUUUAACCUAUUCGCACUUGCAGUGUAUUCAGUCUCGAACUCAACCUAUGUCACUUAUUAUACUUUUGUACUCUUAAUGAGUGACUAGAUUCACUCUCAGAGAAAAAUAACAUGGCUAUUUGUACAAAAGUUUUGAAAUUACAGUUUGCUUUGAUGUGUCGGCUUGACUUAGGGAAGUGCAAUUUUAUUUUCCUUCCCUGAUCUUUUCCUCUCAUCAUUUGCAGGUCCUUGAGAAAGACACCGUAAUGAAAAGGUUUCAGGAAGUAUCUUCUCAGUUAGAACAAGCUUUGGGUCAAAUUUCUUUUGACGAUCUUGACAUAUCAGAUGAAGUUAGAGAACAGGUAAGUAACUUAUGGCAAUCUCUUUAAAGUCUCUAUAGACAUUACUCUUCCUUAAAUUUGUAUCAUUAAUCUCUUUUGGCACAUUCUCAAGAGUACUUCUUCUUGAAGAUAAGAGUUUUCUGUUAAUUCCUUAAUAUGUCAGUAUCUAAUUGAGAGAUGUUUUAACAGGUUGAGCUUGUGCAUGCUCAACUAAAGAGAGCCAAAGAACGAACUGAUAUGUCGGAUUCAGAGCUUCAUACUGAGUUAUUAUCCCUAUAUAACAGGACCAAGGAGGUCAACAUAGACCCAUCGAUCCUUGAAAGAUUAUCAGAAAAGCUACACCUGACUACAAUUGCUGAUCUCAAACAAGAAUCGCUAUCUUUGCAUGAGAUGGUAAUUGCCAGCGGCGGCGGCGAUCCGGGAGAGCAGAUUGAGAAGAUGUCGAUGCUGCUAAAAAAGAUCAAGGAUUUCGUGCAGACACAAGACCCUGAAAUGGGCAGUGUAGCAAAUCCGAAAUCUCUGCUUCUUGAUAGGAAGCAAAAAACUGCAGUAAUUCCAGAUGACUUCCGCUGUCCUAUAUCCCUGGAUUUGAUGAAAGAUCCAGUAAUUGUGGCCACUGGUCAGGUAACUUUUAAUUUAAAUAAAAUCAUAGAGACCUUACCUGAAGUAUAGCUGAUUUUGAUAGGGCAUCUACACUCUUGAAGCUUUGAUUCUACUACCUACCCUUAAAAGUUGACAAUUUGUUUGAUUUAUCUGGUUCACCAGCAAAACUUAAUAGUAUUCUUAAAUUUUUAGCAGAAUAUUGUAAAACCUAACCACGUAUUCUGUUCACUUACGGAAGUUUUUAUCGCUAUUUUGACCGAAACCUUUAAGUUCCAACAAAAUUUGCCAGGAAUUUUGGAAAUCAAAAGUAAUGGAAGGUGAGAUAGUAAACUCAAUACUUAUGAAAGUUUAGGUAUCCAUGUUAAUACACACUGUAAAUUCAGAUAAAUUCUAUAAGUUUUUUACCUUCUAUUCAUGGUAAUCUUGGUUUUUAGAGGUAUUAAGCAGUGUACUAUGAUUCAUCUUUCAAAUUUUUUAGCUAUUCUUUUGUCCAUCCAGACAUAUGAGAGAGCAUGCAUUGAGAAGUGGCUAGCUUCAGGCCACAACACAUGCCCAACCACGCAACAAAAGCUGGUUCACACCUCAUUGACCCCAAACUAUGUUUUAAGAAGUCUCAUCGCCCAAUGGUGUGAAGCGAAUGGUAUUGAACUGCCCAAGCGACCUUGCCAACCUAGUAAUCCUACCUCUUCAUCAUGCUCCUCAAAAGAACAUGCUAAUAUACAUGCUCUUCUCCGUAAGUUAUCUUCUCCGAAGCCCGACGACCAGCGAUCAGCUGCUGGGGAGCUGCGUCUCCUGGCCAAGCGCAACUCUGACAACCGCAUCUGUAUAGCCGAGGCUGGUGCAAUCCCCUUACUGAUAAAUCUACUCUACACCACCGACUUACGGAUCCAGGUUUGAAGGAUUUUUUUUUUCUUUAACUAAUGUAAGCUGCUAGAAGACACUGUUUUUUAAUAUUUUAUGUACUAAACACCAGGAACAUGCUGUUACUGCCCUUUUGAAUCUCUCCAUCCAUGACGACAACAAGGCAGGCAUAGUUUCUUCAGGGGCCGUGCCAGGCAUUGUCAAUGUAUUGAAAAACGGCAGUAUGGAAGCACGGGAGAAUGCCGCUGCCACUCUCUUUAGCCUUUCAGUGGUGGAUGAAUAUAAGAUAAGAAUCGGGGAAUUGGGGGCCAUACCAGCCCUCGUGUCGUUACUAAGCGAAGGGACUCAGCGUGGGAAAAAGGAUGCAGCAACUGCCCUUUUUAACUUGUCCAUAUAUCAGGGGAAUAAGGGGAAAGCGGUUCGAGCGGGUGUCGUCCCACUAAUAAUGGGGCUAUUGACUGAUCCAUUGGGUGGCAUGGUGGAAGAGGCUGCGGCGCUGCUGGCAGUGCUGGCAAGCCACCCAGAGGGGAAGACGGCAAUUGGGGAGGCUGAGGCUGUGCCAGUGCUUGUAGAGAUGAUUGGAAUGGGGUCAGCAAGGAGUAGAGAGAAUGCGGCUGCUGUUCUUUUACAUCUUUGCUCUGGGGAGCAGCAACUCAAGUAUUUAGCUCAGGCACAGGAGUGUGGGAUGAUGGGGUCACUAAGGGAGCUAGCAGUGAAUGGCACGGGGAGGGGAAAGAGGAAAGCGGUGCAGUUGCUUGAACGAGUGAGCCGGUUCGUGAUACAGCAGCAAGAGGAACAGGCUCAAAUUUUGACUUUGGCUCAAGCUGGGACUCAGUUCGAUGUCCAUGAUCAAGUUGAACAUGCAGAGCAUCCAUCUUCAGCAGUUCUUAUUGAUCGGUAACAUUUGUCUCGUCGCAUUGUUUGUACACAUUCUUCCUUGUGGUUAGGAGGUUUGAUCUCAAGAUAAGGUGGUAACCUACCUGCUCUUUAAGAUGUGCUUUUACUCUGUGUUCAAGUUGGAAUGUGCUAUAUGCAUUCUUGAAUAGAUGUGCCAAUGGUUGUCCAUCGGCUGGGUUUGGAGUGUAACAUACACAAGUUGUGGUGGUGUAUAUUUAGUUUGGGAGUACUAUAUGUUUAUUGAACGGUCGUCAAGCCUAUUACUUGUAGCUAGAAUUAUUAAACAUCUUUGUGAAUGCAGUUAUUUGUGUUCUGUUAUGUGUGUAUGGAUAGAAUCCUUUUGGGAUGUGGCUAAUGGAUAAUUCUACUGUUAAUUGAAUUAGAACAAAUUAGAUUCUAUCACAGGGUCAGUAGACACAUGUAUCAACCCUCUUUUUUGAGGGAUUAACUUAAGUAAUCUUCUAGGUAUCUUCUUAUUAGACUGAUCAUUUAACACACCGCAUACGAUGUCUCUUCAGGUAAAUUUAAAAUCACACCCUUUUCCUUUUUUUCCUUUUCCAUUGCAUAUUCUUUGAUCCUCAAUUGCAUUAAUUGGUCCUUCAAUGUUGACGCAAGCGAGCUACUAAUGUGAUAUUAUCUUAGGUACUGUUCACUUAACAGAGAUUUAUAUUGGCUUGUUGAAAUAAGGUUGCUAGCAACGGUAGCUGAUCUAUCUGUGGAAUAGCAAUGCAGAUUUUCAGGUAAAAUCUGUAACUUCGAGAUUUUUGUGAACUUUUUUCUGUUUCGAAGAAUGUAACUACAAUUGUGUAUACUGCUGUUUUGAAAUGUAUGUGUAGUAAUUGCUAUAUGUCCUGGUUAAAUGGUAGCACAACUUAAUGGGCGUUCUCCUACUUUAAUGCGACCCAGCAGCCAAAUUGUUUUGCUCCAAGCUCAUGAAAACAAUUAAAUAGAGAAAUAAACCAAACAAUGAAUAAAGAUAGAUACAAAAAUAAUAAAAGCUGGUACAUACAUAAUAUUUCCAAGUGGUUUGUGACCAAUAGCAAUGAUAAUCUCUAGGGUCCUUUCUUUUUUCUUCUGUGAAAGAUUUGGUUCGUAGCAGUAGGAAGUGACAGUACGAGGUGGAUAAUGAGUAUAAUAGAAGUGUGGCUUUUUGACUCAGGUGACCGAGGCUUCUUAGAAAGAGAAAGCGAGAGCUCCGUUAUCCAUUUAAGCAGCUUCGUUUUCCAUGUAAGUAGUCGAAGCUGUCUCCCUUUCUUUUAUUAAAAAUGCUAUUGUACACUAAAAAGUUGGGCGCAAAUCUUACAUAUGCUUCUUUUGAAUUUUUAAUAUUAAUAGAAAGGAUGGAUAAGAUUAAAGUGAAAAAUAUGACUUUUCGAUGAAGAGCGUGUAAAAUUUAUAUCUACUUUCGGAAUGUGCAAGGAAUAUUGCUCUUUAUGUAUUAUGAUAUACUACUUGGUCUUAUUAUAAUUGUAAAAUCUAACUAGGUAGUGACUCUCCUUUGUAAGGUUUUAUUAUUAUUAUGAUAUUGUAUUAUGAUAUUUCUUCUUUUUUCUCAUCCUGAGAUCUCUGCAGUGAGGAUUAACUAAAAGUUGAUGAAUAUUACGAGUGAGUAGAAAUGCUUGCGCAUAAAGUUACUCGAGGAAUAUGCUUUGAAAUUUAUCAGGAAUGUAAUAUAAUUUUGAAAAUUCCCAACAUAAGUUUGAACAGAUUCAAUCUUAGGUAACAUCCAAGUUUCAAUUCUGUUAUCUCAGUGUGCUUUUCUGCAGCUAUUCUGUGCCCCAGUGCCUAUUGUGAUGCCUAUGGAAUAUAGAUAGGCAUCAAUUAUCCUUAGGACUUGUCGGUUUUAAGCUUUUCCUUAAGCACCGUUUGAUUAGUGCUGCUCAAAAAUCACUUUAAUGGUUAUUAAAAUACAUUCAAUUACUUCUCACCUCUUUUGUCAUUCGUAACGUGGAAAUGCUAUUUCAGAACCUAGGCUAAGCUAUUUUUUCGUGUCGACAAUGUGUGUAGGUCCCCAUACCUUGGAGCUCCUCUUCUUCAAUCAGUGUAUAUUAAAUUCAAGCCUGGGAGUUUUGAGGCCCAAAUUUGGAGACGCCGACAGGAUUGACCGUCUUUCACCUUAUCACCAGGCUACUACUAGGUAAGUAAAUGCGGAAUUUUCCUUUCACAUAUGAACUUCACAAGGGAUGGUAUGGAUCUAUUUCUAUUUCUAAAUCAAUUUCAUUAAGUUGAAUCAAAUAGUAGUAUAAAUUUGCUAGUUGUGAACAUCACAAUCAGGUAUCCUCCCAACUCCCUAUGUCAUAGUGUUUCAAGAAGCAGAGUAACAAAAAUAUCUUCACUUGAAAGUACCACUACUACACCACUGGUGCAAAAAGCUUGCACAUUCCUAGUUAAAAACCAACUCUGGUGAAAGGGGCUCAUCAGAGUCCCCCAAUAUAUGAUGUGAGGGAGCUUAGCAAUCAUCCCCAUCACCAAAGAUUCCAGAGUCAAAUCUGCUGCGACAUGUCUAGGACAGCAUCAAAGCCUAUCUAAUCCCAUCCAUUUCCCCUAAAGCCUGAGAGGGCUCUAGAAGUUCUCAAAAGCACAAAAACACACACACACACACACAAACUUUAAAAAAUAAAAAAUUAAAAAUAAAAAAUAAAUCUGAAUCUAUUAUAUAUAUAAUAAAUAUGAGGAAGGUGUAAAGAUAUAAGAAGUUUAAUUAGAAUUCUCUCAGAUGCAUUAAAGUUUGAUAGGUUACCAAUGAAGUUAGGAAUAGAGUAAAAUGAUUGAUGCAUUAUUCCAAUCAAGUAUAUCAUUAACCAUUGGAACCUUUAUAUCUUACAUGGGAAUUGUGCUUCGACUAGAUGUACUCGACACACACACACACACACACAAAAAGUAAGAUUUUUGGGUUGAGAAAACAUUGUGUUAAUUUCGUUCUUUGCUAAGUUGAGAAAAAUCAAAGAAGAAAAUUAAACAGACGGCGCGAUAUCUGCCUUGUAAUCUUUUUUAAAAAUUUUGAGAGGGAUUUUAGAAUAUUUUUUAUUAAUAGCCUUAGAAAAUACUUCAAUGAAUUUUUUUUUUUAAAUACGGUAAAUUAUUCACCUUUUUUUUUUCAAAGAAUUAAACUUAUUUUUAAUGUUUAACACUAUGCAUCUUUUGAAGUUUGGAGAUAAGAAAUAUAUAAAUUAGGAUAAAGGUGGUGAAUUAUUCAUCGUUUUUAAAAAAUAAUAAAUGAUUCACCGCUUUUAACAGCUUAUUUUUAUAAAUAAAAAUUUUAAAUGUCUAUUUUUAUAUUCAAAAAUUUUGUGGGCUUAGUAGUCCAAAAACUCCGGAAUUUAGCUAGUUAGCUAGUUAUUUGUAAGCCUCAAUCCGAAAGAAAUAAGAUUGAAAUGUAAAAAGGAGAGGGAUCAACACUGCUAAGUAGAGACAUGCAUGCUUUAAUAAGAAUUGUGUCUGUUUGCGCGAGUUGCUCUGUUUAGUAUUAAUCGUAUCAUAAAAUUCUAAGCGCUUCUAAAUUACGUGCAUCUUAUCCUGUCAAGAGCAGUAAUAAAUUAGUUUAAAGAACAGUGCUAACUAAUUAGAAACUGAUCAAUCUGGGUAUAUAUCAUGUACAAAACUGGAGCAGAGAUAUAUCUGCAAGUAUUAACAAACGACAACAUUACUGACCGUCCCUAGAGCAAGUGGCAAAGGACUUGGUGGUUGGUAUCCGAGAUUCAAGUUCGAAUUCUAGUUGGUUCAUAUUUUCCAGCUAAGUUUAUUUCUAAAUGAAAUAAACGAAACGGGUAGCAUGCUACCUAUCUUUCUCUCUCAAAAAAAAAAUAAUAAUAAUAAAAAAUAAACGACAACAUCGUACUUGUUAACCAAGUAC